rnacentral:lncRNA from 1 species
UUUGGAGCUUCCCACUUUUAGUAAUAUAUGAUGAUAUAUGAUAUGAUAUGAUGAUGAUGAUAUGAUAUGAUAUAUGAUGAUAUGAUGUUGAGGAUAUUUACAAAUUUUAUAAGCUCACAAAGGUCUGGUGAAUAUCAGAUGUCUUUGUUUCGAUGCUAUUACUGUGUUAUUUUAAUGUGACAAAUAGUAGUUGUGUGACUUUAUUGUGUAGUGUAUAAAAUUCAUGCUAUUUUGAUAAUUUGGUUGAUUCAGGAUGAAUGUCGAUCGUAUGAUUACAUGGAUUCACAACUAGAUAUCAAUGUCAGGGUUAGAGCUAGAAAAUUUUCUGGAAGGUUGAACUACUUGAAAAAAAUGAAAGCUACAUUAAUGAAUACAGUUGCGAGAUCAAGAGAAACUUUUUAGAUCUGUUGUCAAUAUUCUUAGCAGUGUAACUCAUGUGCACAUUCUACAGCAAAAAGUAAGUAGAAGAACUCAAUUUUUUGCAAUGAAAUGGCACCAUUUUCUCACACUCAAAAUGACCUUAAAUUUCAUGAAUGAAACAAUAUGUAUUACUUAGCUUGAAGCCCCAUUUUCUUCCUUGUUUUCCCAACGUAUAAAUCCUUAGACUUGCUCAUCUCAGGGACUAAUCCAAUGAUCGUCGUGAACGAAAAUUGAGCCACUGCUUCAAAGCUCGUAUAUUGCAAGUUUGCUUUCUUUUCCUCCGCUCAUCAAAAGUUUCAAGUUCUUCACGGUCAUUAGAGCAUGUUUUUGAGCCGAAUAUCCUUGUUUAAGUUCCUGAUAGGGAAGAAGCAUUAGAAUUCAAUUGAAUAACAACAACAUACACAAUAUAAUCCUACAAGUGGAGUCUGGGAAAAGUAGAGUUUACGCAUACUUUAUCCCUACCUUGUCAAGUAAGAACUCAAUUGAAUAGCAGAAUCAAAAUUCAAGUAAUAGCUAGCUGCUUCAGGUCCUCUGGCAACUGUUAUAUUAUCAAAAUGCCUUCUAAAUUCAACAUAUAUAUUCUUUAACUGUAGUUUCUCUUGCAACAACAACAACAAAUCCUUAUGUUUCUAUGACCCUUGAUUCUAAGAUUUUUAUCAACCUUCAAUCUUCCAAAAUUAUUGAUUCGAUCCUUCAAAUAUGUCUCCCUUAACCACUCUGAACCCGGUGGCUUUCCCGUGCAAAGAAAAAUGGCUGAAUCCCGUGAAAUUACUAGUAAAUCUCGACAUCUUUGUAAAAGAGUAGAGGAGUCACGAUCAAGACAAUUGGCUGAAUCCCAUGAAAUUAACUUAAAUCUAAUAUAAAAAUAAUAUAACCUUUAACUUGGCCUCAACUCAUAUAUAUGCCCUCAAACUUUGGAUGUGCGCAGGUAGACACUUAAAUUUGUAUAAAGUUAAAUAAAUAGACACAAACGUCCUAAGUGACAUCUUACAUGACAAUUUUCAUCUUACGUGGUGUCCUGUGUGUAUUAUGUCACGUAAGACUCAUGUGUCUAUUUGUUCAAUUUUAUACAAGUUAAACUGUCUACUUGUGCAUACCAAAGUUGGAGGACAUAAAUGUGAAAUGAAGUCAAGUUAAAAGCCAUAUUAUUCAAAAUUCAAAUUUCAUAGGGUUUGAAGUUUCAAUUCCAUUGAUGGAUAACGUUACAAUUUUAGUGCAACACAAUGGAACUUGAGAUUCAAACAACCACUAUGACCAAAGAACAAAAAAAACGGCUAACCGAGAGUCCUUGCCCGACUAAAAGAAAAGGUUUGUUGGUAGAAUGGGGGUAGGCCGACAAUUUUUCCGGAUAGAUCGAACUAUUGAAAAAAAAUAAAAAAGAAAGACCGAGUGUUAUCACAUUGAUGCAAUUCUAGUCAAUUCCACUUCCAAUUCAUAGAUCUAGUCACAAAUUUACCUUUUUAUCCUUGGCGGAAUGUAAUGGAUGGUUCUAGAUAUAUGAAGAAAAUGUUUUUAUUAGUGUAAAUUUACUUCUUUACCUUGGUCUUUCUUUGUCUUCACAUUUCUGUAUAGUAGAAAAGAAAAAUACAAGAGGGCAUUUCUAGAUAAUUCAACAUCUAAAAUCAUCCAAACAAUGAUCUACCUGGUGUCAACUAUUAGCGAGUUUUAAUUAUUAUUUUUUCUUGAUCGGAUUUUGGUAACAAUAGAUUCUUUGCUUAGUUGGCGAAAGUUUUAUUUCCAAUAUAAAUAUGUGAAUUUUGGUGGUAUGUGGUCCCCACUAAAUUAUAGGUCAACUCUUUUUUCCCUUUUUAAAAUAGGAAUAAUACAUAAAUAAUUUCUUAGUACACGUUAGAACUUACUAUAUAUGCUUAGAGUAAUUAUUUAAUUCUACACCAUAACUCCACGUUAUUGCCACUAUACCAAAAAGUCAAUCCUCCCAAUUUGAAACCAUCCAUUUACUCCAACCUACCCAAUAACUUGAAGCUUGAGGCAAUCCUCCCAAUUCGAAAAGUCUUUUCUGAACAUAUGACAUGUAUUUAUUGGUUUAUUGUAAAUAACAAAUACUUUUUCUGUCUCGAAACCUCUAAUUAAAUACGAUAAAAUUAUAUAUAACAAAACAACUACAAGGGAGAACUUUUAAUCAUUUCACUGUACCUCUAGAUGUUAUCAAAUUCCCAACUUGAUAUGUUUUCAAGUAUAAAAAAAUAUUAUGAAGACAAAGUCUGGUUGUUGGGGGGAAAAGUUAUACUCGUGGAAAAGACAGCUUAAAUUCUUUUCUUUUUCCCUAUAGCUGUCACUGUAGAAAACUAUUGUUGUACCAUUCUUGUUUGCAAAUCACUCUUAGCAUUCAACAGGUAAAGUAAAGUUGUUAGUAAUUGAACAUACAAACAUUUAUCUUCUCUAAACUAUUGUUCUCACUUUACUUGUUUUGCUUUGCAGAUUUCAGAAAUGGAGAUUGGCUUAGCAGUUGGUGGUGCAUUUCUCUCUUCAGCUUUGAAUGUUCUGUUUGAUAGGCUUGCUCCUCAUGGUGAUCUUCUCAACAUGUUUCGGAAGCAUAAGGAUCAUGUUCAACUCUUACACAAGCUGCAGGACAUUUUGCUUGGUCUUCAGAUUGUGCUAAGUGAUGCAGAGAAUAAGCAAGCAUCAAAUCGACAUGUGAGCCAGUGGUUUAAUAAGCUUCAGAGUGCUGUAGAUGGCGCUGAAAACUUGAUAGAAGAAGUCAAUUAUGAAGCUUUGAGGCUUAAGGUGGAAGGCCAGCAUCAAAAUCUUGCAGAAACAAGCAACAAACAAGUAAGUGACCUCAGCCUGUGCUUGAGUGAUGAUUUAUUUCGUAACAUAAAGGAUAAGUUGGAAGAAACCAUUGAAACAUUGGAGGUGUUGGAAAAGCAAAUUGGUCGCCUUGGCUUAAAGGAGAAUUUUGUUUCGACUAAACAAGAAACUAGAACACCUUCAACUUCUUUGGUUGAUGAUUCUGAUAUCUUUGGAAGGCAGAGUGAAAUAGAGGAUUUGAUUGACCGUUUAUUGUCUGAAGAUGCAAGUGGAAAAAAGCUCACUGUAGUUCCUAUAGUUGGAAUGGGCGGCGUGGGUAAGACAACACUUGCUAAAGCCGUUUACAAUGAUGAGAAGGUGAAGGACCAUUUUGGUUUGAAAGCUUGGUUUUGUGUUUCUGAGGCAUAUGAUGCUUUCAGAAUAACAAAAGGGUUACUUCAAGAAAUUGGCUCAACUGACUUGAAGGUUGAUGACAAUCUUAACCAGCUACAAGUCAAAUUAAAGGAAAGAUUAAAGGGAAAGAAGUUUCUUCUUGUUCUGGACGAUGUGUGGAAUGACAACUACAACGAGUGGGAUGACUUGAGAAAUGUUUUUGUACAAGGAGAUAUAGGAAGUAAGAUCAUUGUGACGACACGUAAAGAGAGUGUUGCCUUGAUGAUGGCAGCGCUGAUGUUGAGCUACAAUGAUCUUCCUGCACAUUUGAAGCAAUGUUUUGCUUAUUGUGCAAUAUAUCCCAAAGAUUAUCAAUUUCGCAAGGACCAAGUUAUUCACUUGUGGAUUGCUAAUGGUCUUGUACAGCAGUUGCAUUCAGGUAACCAAUACUUUCUUGAGUUGAGAUCAAGAUCAUUGUUCGAAAGGGUCCCAGAGUCUGAAUGGAAACCGGAGGGAUUCUUAAUGCAUGACCUCGUCAAUGAUUUGGCCCAAAUUGCAUCUUCAAAUCUUUGUAUAAGGUUGGAAGAGAACAAAGGAUCGCACAUGUUGGAACAAUGUCGGCACAUGUCCUAUUCAAUAGGAAAAGAUGGUGACUUUGAGAAAUUGAAAUCACUCUUUAAAUCAGAGAAGCUGAGGACAUUACUUCCAAUCAUUCUCCCGCCCUAUUAUAACAACGGUCAGCUAAGCAAGAGGGUGCUGCAUAACAUAUUGCCAAGACUAACAUCCUUAAGGGCAUUAUCGUUGUCACGCUAUGAGAUUGUUGAGUUGCCAAAUGACUUGUUUAUUGAAUUAAAGCUCCUGAGAUUUUUGGAUAUUUCUCGGACAAAGAUUAAAAGGUUGCCAGAUUCCAUUUGUGGAUUGUAUAACUUAGUGACACUUCUCCUGUAAUCUUGUGCUGAUCUUGAUGAGCUACCACUGCAGAUGGAGAUGUUGAUCAACUUGCGUCAUCUUGACAUAAGCAACACUUCUCUCUUGAAGAUGCCACUAUAUCUGAGCAAGUUGAAAAGCCUCCAAGUGUUAGUGGGAGCCAAGUUUCUUUUAGGUGGUUCGAGAAUGGAAGAUUUGGGUGAUGUACAUAACUUGUACGGAUCUCUAUCGGUUGUAGAGUUGCAAAAUGUGGUUGAUAGUAGGGAAGCUGUGAAGGCAAAGAUGAGGGAGAAGAAUCAUNNNNNNNNNNNNNNNNNNNNNNNNNNNNNNNNNNNNNNNNNNNNNNNNNNNNNNNNNNNNNNNNNNNNNNNNNNNNNNNNNNNNNNNNNNNNNNNNNNNNNNNNNNNNNNNNNNNNNNNNNNNNNNNNNNNNNNNNNNNNGGAUAUAGAGGGACAAAAUUUCCAAAUUGGCUAGCUGAUGUUUCGUUUCUUAAGCUAGUAGAAUUGUCUCUUAUAAACUGCAAGAACUGUUAUUCCUUGCCAGCACUAGGACAGCUUCCUUGUUUGAAAUUCCUUUCCAUUAGAGGGAUGUAUGGAAUAACAGAGGUGACGGAAGAAUUCUAUGGCAGUUUGUCCUCCAAAAAGCCUUUUAACGCUCUUGAGAAGCUUGUAUUUGAAGAUAUGCCGGAGUGGAAGCAAUGGCAUGUACUAGGAAAUGGAGAGUUCCCUACACUUGAGAAGCUUUUAAUUAUAAAUUGCCCUGAACUCAGUUUGGAAACACCCAUCCAACUUUCAUGUUUAAAAAGGUUUGAAGUUGAUGGUUGUCAUAAGGUUGGAGAUGCUCAAAUGUUUAGAUCCCAACUUGAGGGAAUGAAGCAGAUUGUUGAAUUAGAUAUUAGUGAUUGUAACUCUAUUACCUCCUUUCCUUUUAGCGUUCUUCUCAUUACCUUGAAGAGAAUAGUUAUAUCUGGUUGCCAGAAAUUGAAAUUGGAGCAGCCAGUUGGUGAGAUGAGUAUGCUUCUCGAGGAUUUGUCACUGCAAGAAUGUGAUUGUAUAGAUGAUAUAUCACCUGAGAUGCUCCCAACAGCACGCAGAUUGUUUGUAUGUAAUUGCCAGAACCUUACUAGGCUUUUUAUUCCUACUGCCACUGAAAGUCUCUAUAUUGCUUAUUGUGUGAAUCUUGAAAUACUUUCGGUGGCAUGUGGGAAGACCCAGAUGAUGUAUUUUCCAGAACGUAUGCAGGAACUCCUCCCAUCUCUUAAGACACUGAUUCUAUCUAAUUGUCCAGAAAUAGAGUCCUUUCCUGAAGGAGGAUUGCCCUUCAAUUUACAAAAACUUCAUAUCUACAAUUGCAAGAAACUGGUGAAUGGCCGAAAGGAGUGGCAUUUACACAGACUUCCCUGUCUCAGAAAGUUAAGCAUCUACCAUGAUGGCAGUGAAGAAGAGAUUGUUGGUGGUGAGAAUUGGGAAUUGCCUUCCUUUAUUCAAAGACUUACCAUAUACAAUCUCAAAACAUUAAGGAGCCAAGAUAUCAGAAGCCUCACCUCUCUUCAAUAUCUAUGUAUUGGUAAGUUAUCUCAACUUCAGUCAAUGCUAGAAGAAGGGCAGCUCACUUCACUUCAAAGUCUAGACAUCAAUAAUUGCCCUAAUCUCCAAUCACUUUCCGAAUCAGCACUGCCCUCCUCCCUCUCUGAGCUGACCAUCAAUAAUUGCCCUAAGCUCCAAUCCCUUCCAGUAAAAGGGAUGCCCUCUUCCCUCUCUAAACUAUCAAUUCGCGACUGUCCAUUGCUCACACCAUUACUAGAAUUUGACAAGGGGGAAUACUGGCCAAAUAUUGCUCAAAUUCCCACCAUAGUGAUCGAUGAGGAUUCCAUGUGAUGAUUAAAAAGAAUGACCCUCCAAUAGACGUAAGUUUUUCUAUUUCCUUAGUAUCUUUUGAUUUUCGGUUACUUCUCUUUGCUUGUUUCUUAAUUCUUUUUCUAUGUUGCAGAGAUGAAAUCUUAAGGAUAAAAAUAUGUUUUACUCCUCUUGAUAUGCAGAUAUGUUGCAGAGAUGAAGUCCCUGUGAGAUACAUUUAAAGUAUAUCCUGUUUGGGAUGAAUUCAAGGUGAGUGUAGACAGUGAAGGUUUAUUGAUAAAUCCAUACUAAAUUUGGAUUAAAUCUUAAAUUCAUGAUACGUUGACCAAGUCAAAUUACUGGUUAAUAAAGUCGGAUUAAUAUUUAUGUCAGAAUUAUAUGACUUAAAUCAAGUCCAAAUAACAUUUGGGCCAGUCCAUUAAAUUGACAAGAUGAGCCCAACUCAUAUUCUUCAGGCCCAGGGGUCAAAAUUACUUGGACCAAAAUACCCCUAAAGCCCUAGCUCAGACCUAUAUAAAGAGGUCUUCAUAAGACCAAAAGGGAGAUAUACACACAUACACACACAUAAAUACAUAGUUGCUCUUCAUUGGUGAUCUGCAAGUCUUCCGCAUACAAAGAAGUCUUCGCUCCAAGUAUUGAGCCGCAAGUAUUCCGCCAAAUCAAGAACAUCUGUGGAGAGAAGAAUCAAGGGAUUACAUAUCUUUUUAAGAGAUUUUAUAAAGAUUGUAACCUUCGCAUUAAUUCAAAUACAAAUAUUAUUGUUUGCUUGCUAUUUUUCUUUUCCUGUUUACUGUAUUUCAGGAUUGAAACUUUAGACGCUUUCAGUGAGAUAACAAAAUAAUGAUUUACUGGUGUUUCAGUUACCAAUAUGCUUAUUUUGUUGUAAUACUUUGCACUCUCAUAAAUCAGCGAAAUAGAUUUCUUCAAUGGCACCCUCAGCAGUCAUCAGUCUGCGAAACAGAGAAAUCAACGGUUUCAAAAUUCUCUAGAACCCAUUUCGAGUUUCACGCCUUCAAUUCUGAUGACACCCAAGACACAAAAGACAUCAACAGAGUAGAAGAAUUCAACCUAACUCCCAUAAUGAACCCACCCAAGUUUUCGAUUCCGCUUCACCUGUUGGGAAGAAGUUUACGACUGAGAAAGGUCUAAAGGUACAAAUAUAUUGUCUUCCCCCUUUCUUACUGCAGCGCUUAAAUUGGUUUUUCCCCACUUUGCAUCAUAAUGAUGUUGGAGUAUAUCGGUUUUCUACUGGUAUUCAGAAACUUAAAAUGGGAAAUUGCUUUCGAAAAUAUCGUUUUCAUUGUUCGAAUGUUUUUUAAAUCAUUUGUUGAUCCAAAAUUUUCAUUUUUCUGUUGAUCUUCUUCUAUCGUUAGUUUUACAUGUCUUCUGAUUGAGUUAUAAUACAUGCCUUGAUUCUAUAGAAGAUGAGAAAUCGUCAAAUGCCUACAAGUGGAGUCUGGAAAAAGUAGAGUUUACGCAUACUUUAUCCCUACCUUGUCAAGUAAGAACUCAAUUGAAUAACAGAAUCAAAAUUCAAGUAAUAACUAGCUGCUUCAGGUCCUCUGGCUACUGCUAUAUUAUCAAAAUGUCUUCUAAAAUCGACAUAUAUAUUCUUCAACUGUAGUUUCUCUUGCAACAACAACAACAAAUCCUUAUGUUUCUAUGACCCUUGAUUCUAAGAUUUUUAUCAACCUUCAAUCUUCAAAAAUUAUCGAUUCGAUCCUUCAGAUGCAUCUCCCUUAACCACUCUGAACCCGGUGGCUUUCCCGUGCAAAGAAAAUUGGCUGAAUCCCGUGAAAUUAAUAGCUAGUACCUCUUGACAUCUUUGUAAAAGAGUAGAGAAGUCACGAUCAAGACAAUUGGUGAAUCACGUGAAAUUAACUUAAAUCUAAUAUAAAAAUAAUAUAACCUUUAACUUGGCCUCAACUCAUAUAUAUGUCCUCCAACUUUGGAUGUGCGCAGGUAGAGACUUAAAUUUGUAUAGAGUUGAAUAAAUAGACACAAACGACCUAAGUAACAUCUUACAUGAAAAUUUUCAUCUUACGUGGUGUCUUGUGUGUAUUAUGCCACGUAAGGCACAUGUGUUUAUUUGUUCAAUUUUAUACAAUUUAAAGUGUCUACUUGUGCAUACCCAAAGUUGGAGGACAUAAAUGUGAAAUGAGGUCAAGUUAAAGGCCAUAUUAUUCAAAUUGCAUAGGGUUUGAAGUUUCAAUUUCAUUGAUGGAUAACGUUACCAUUUUAGUGCAACACAAUGGAACUUGAGAUUCAAACAACCACUAUGACCAAAGAACAAAAAAAAGGGUUAACCGAGAGUCCUUGCCCGACUAAAAGAAAGGGUUUGCUGGUAGAAUGGGGUAGGCCGACAAUUUUUCUGGAUAGAUCGAACUAUUGGAAGGGGUUAACCGAGAGUCCUUGCCCGACUAAAAGAAAGGGUUUGCUGGUAGAAUGGGGUAGGCCGACAAUUUUUCUGGAUAGAUCGAACUAUUGGAAGAAAAUAAAAAGAAAGACCGAGUGUUAUCACAUUGAUGCAAUUCUAGUCAAUUCCAUUUCCAAUUCAUAGAUCUAGUCACAAAUUUACCCUUUUAUCCUUGGCAGAAUGUAAUGGAUGGUUCUAGAUAUAUGAAGAAAAUGUAUUUAUUAGUGUAAAUUUACUUCUUUACCCUUGGUCUUUCUUUGUCUUCACAUUUCUAUAUAGUAGAAAAGAAAAUACAAGAGGUCAUUUCUGGAUAAUUCAACAUCUAAAAUCAUCCAAACAAUGAUCUACCUGGCCUCAACUAUUAGCGAGUUUUAAUUAUUAUUUUUCUUGAUCGGAUUUUGGUAACGAUAGAUUCUUUGCUUAGUUGGCGAAAGUUUUAUUUCCAAUAUAAAUAUGUGAAUUUUGUUGGUAUGUGGUCCCCACUAAAUUAUAGGUCAACUCUUUUUCCCCUUUUUAAAAUAGGAAUAAUGCAUAAACAAUUUCUUAGUACACGUUAGAACUUACUAUAUAUGCGUAGAGUAAUUAUUUAAUUCUACACCAUAACUCCACGUUAUUGCCACUAUACCAAAAAGUCAAUCCUCCCAAUUUGAAACCAUCCAUUUACUCCAACCUACCCAAUAACUUGAAGCUUGAGGCAAUCCUCCCAAUUCGAAAAGUCUUUUUCUGAACAUAUGACAUGUAUUUAUUGGUUUAUUGUAAAUAACAAAUACUCUUUAUGUCUCUAAUUACUUGUCCAUUUUUCCUUUUUUAGUUGUCCCUAAUUACUUAUCCAUUUUGACAAAUUAUUUUUAUCUAUUAUACUCUCAAUUAAUUACUAUGAAAAAGAUAGAACUUCUUGAAAAUCUUAAAUUUUUAAUUCACCUACUUCAUAAUUAAUAGGGGUAAAAUCGUAAAUUCACUAUGUCAAUUAUUGUUUUCUUAAUAGGUGUGUACUUUUUAAAAUUUUGUUGAAUCUUUACUUAAUAUUUCUAUUGAGUUAAAUAUUAGACAUUGGUAGCUUUUGCUUAUUAUCAAGGUAUGUGGUCCCCACCAAACUAUAGGUCAACUCAUUUUCUCCUUUUUAAAAUAGGAAUAAUACAUAAACAAUUCUUAAUACACUUUAGAACUUAAUAUAAGCUUAGAAUAAUUAUUUAAUUCUACACCAUAACUCCACGUUAUUGCCUCUAUACAAAAAAAAAAAGUCACUCCUCCCAAUUUGAAAAGUCUUCGCGUGAACAUAUGUCAUGUAUUUAUUAGUUUAUUGUAAAUAACAAAUACAAAUAAGUUUUCACCUUAUCUGAAUUUGCUUGGGAUGUUUUAGCUCUCACUAUCAAGAGAAACUUUAUCACAACGAUUCAAGCUCGAAACCUCUAAUUAAAUACGACAAAAUUAUAUAUAUAAAGAAAAUUAUAUAUAACAAAACAACUACAAGGGAGAACUUUUAAUCAUUUCACUGUACCUCUUAAUGUUAUCAAAUUCCCAACUUGACAUGUUUUCAAGUAUAAAAAAUAUUAUGAAGACAAAGUCUGGUUGUUGAGGGGAAAAGUCAUACUCAUGGAAAAGACAGCUUAAAUUCUUUUCUUUUUUUUCCUAUAGCUGUCACUGUAGAAAACUAUUGUUGUACCAUUCUUGUUUGCAAAUCACUCUUAGCAUUCAACAGGUAAAGUAAAGUUGUUAGUAAUUGAACAUACAAACAUUUAUCUUCUCUAAACUAUUGUUCUCACUUUACUUGUUUUGCUUUGCAGAUUUCAGAAAUGAAGAUUGGCUUAGCAGUUGGUGGUGCAUUUCUCUCUUCAGCGCUGAAUGUUCUCUUUGAUAGGCUUGCUCCUCAGAGUGAUCUGCUCAACAUGUUUCAGAAGCAUAAGGAUCAUGUUCAGCUUGUUGACACCCAAUUUUGACCCUCCCCGAUGUAAUUNNNNNNNNNNNNNNNNNNNNNNNNNNNNNNNNNNNNNNNNNNNNNNNNNNNNNNNNNNNNNNNNNNNNNNNNNNNNNNNNNNNNNNNNNNNNNNNNNNNNAUUUUUUCUUAAAAAUUAAGUGGCGACUCUAAAACCAAUCAAAUUAUUAUUUUAAAUAAAGCACAGCUCUUACACAAGCUGCAGGACAUUUUGCUUGGUCUUCAGAUUGUGCUAAGUGAUGCAGAGAAUAAGCAAGCAUCAAAUCGACACGUGAGCCAGUGGUUUAAUAAGCUUCAGAGUGCUGUAGACGGCGCUGAAAACUUGAUAGAAGAAGUCAAUUAUGAAGCUUUGAGGCUUAAAAUGGAAGGCCAGCAUCAAAAUCUUACAGAAACAAGCGACCAGCAGGUAAGUGACCUCAACCUGUGCUUGAGUGAUGAUUUCUUUCGUAACAUAAAGGAUAAGUUGGAAGAAACCAUUGAAACAUUGGAGGUGUUGGAAAAGCAAAUUGGUCGCCUUGGCUUAAAGGAUCAUUUUGGUUCGACUAAACAAGAAACUAGAACACCUUCAACUUCUUUGGUUGAUGAUUCUGAUAUCUUUGGAAGGCAAAGCGAAAUAGAGGAUUUGAUUGACCGUUUAUUGUCUGAAGAUGCAAAUGGAAAAAUGCUGACUGUGGUUACUAUUGUUGGAAUGGGCGGCGUGGGUAAGACAACACUUGCUAAAGCCGUUUACAAUGAUGAGAAGGUGAAGGACCAUUUUGGUUUGAAAGCUUGGUUUUGUGUUUCUGAGGCAUACGAUGCUUUCAGAAUAACAAAAGGUUUACUUCAAGAAAUUGGCUCAUUUGAGUUGAAAGCUGAUGACAAUCUUAAUCAGCUUCAAGUAAAAUUGAAGGAAAGCUUAAAGGGAAAGAAAUUUCUUAUUGUUCUGGAUGAUGUGUGGAAUGACAACUACAAUGAGUGGGAUGACUUGAGAAAUGUUUUUGUACAAGGACGUAUUGGAAGUAAGAUCAUUGUGACGACACGUAAAGAGAGUGUUGCCUUGAUGAUGGGAAAUGUAGCAAAUUAAGCAUGGACAAUUUGUCUACUGAAGCCUCUUGGUCUUUAUUCAAAAGACAUGCAUUUGAAAACAUGGAUCCUAUGGGAAAUCCGGAACUUGAAGAGGUCGGAAAACAAAUUGCAGCUAAGUGCAAAGGAAGGCCCCUUAGCUCUGAAGACGCUCGCCGGCAUGUUACUCUCCAAAUCAGAGGUUGAAGAGUGGAAACGUAUUUUGAGAAGUGAAAUAUGGGAGUUGCCACACAAUGACAUAUUACCAGCGUUGAUGUUGAGCUACAAUGAUCUUCCGGCACAUUUAAAACUAUGUUUUUCCUUUUGUGCAAUAUUUCCUAAAGAUUAUCCAUUUAGGAAAGAACAAGUCAUUCAUCUGUGGAUUGCCACUGGUCUCGUACCACAGGAAGAUGAAAUAAUUGAAGAUUCAGGCAACCAGUACUUUCUCGAGUUGAGGUCAAGAUCAUUAUUCGAAAGGGUCCCAAAUCCUUCUGAAGGGAACAUAGAGAAUUUAUUCUUAAUGCAUGACCUUGUCAAUGAUUUAGCCCAAAUUGCAUCUUCAAAACUUUGNNNNNNNNNNNNNNNNNNNNNNNNNNNNNNNNNNNNNNNNNNNNNNNNNNNNNNNNNNNNNNNNNNNNNNNNNNNNNNNNNNNNNNNNNNNNNNNNNNNNNNNNACAUGUAUUGAUCUCAAGCAUUGUUAUCACCCUCUAAGCAAGAGGGUGCAGCAUAACAUACUGCCAAGACUAAGAUCCUUAAGGGCAUUAUCAUUGUCUCAUUACGAUAUUGUUGAGUUGCCAAAUGACUUGUUUAUCGAAUUAAAGCUCCUGAGAUUUUUGGAUAUUUCUAAGACAGAGAUUAAUAAGUUGCCAGAUUCCAUUUGUGGAUUGUAUAAUUUAAAGACACUUCUCCUGUCGUCUUGUGAUUAUCUUGAGGAUCUACCACUGCAGAUGGAGAAGUUGAUCAACUUGCGUCAUCUUGACAUAAGCAACACUUCUCUCUUGAAGAUGCCACUAUAUCUGAGCAAGUUGAAAAGCCUCCAAGUGUUAGUGGGAGUCAAGUUUCUUUUAGGUGGUUUGAGAAUGGAAGAUUUGGGUGAAGCACAGAACUUGUAUGGAUCUCUAUCAGUUGUAGAGUUGCAAAAUGUGGUUGAUAGUAGGGAAGCUGUGAAGGCAAAGAUGAGGGAGAAGAUUCAUUGUUGACAAGUUAUCUUUGGAGUGGAGUGAAAGUAGUAGUGCCAACAAUUCAGAAACUGAAAGAGACAUACUUGAUGAACUACACCCACAUAAAAACAUAAAAGAAGUCGAAAUCACUGGAUAUAGAGGGACAAAAUUUCCAAAUUGGCUAGCUGAUCCUUUGUUUCUUAAGCUGGUGGAAUUAUCUCUUAGCAACUGCAAGGUCUGUUAUUCCUUGCCAGCACUAGGACAACUCCCUUGUUUGAAAUUCCUUUCGAUUAGAGGGAUGCAUGGAAUAACAGAGGUGACGGAAGAAUUCUAUGGUAGUUUGUCCUCCAAAAAGCCUUUUAACUCUCUUGUGGAGCUUAGAUUUGAAGAUAUGCCGGAGUGGAAGCAAUGGCACCUACUAGGAAGUGGAGAGUUUCCUAUCCUUGAGAAACUUUUCAUUAUAAAUUGCCCUGAACUCAGUUUGGAGACACCCAUCCAAUUUUCAAGUUUAAAAAGGUUUAAAGCUGUUGGUUCUUCUAAGGUUGGAGUUGUUUUUGAUGAUGCUCAACUGUUUAGAUCCCAACUUGAGGGAAUGAAGGAGAUUGAAGAAUUAUAUAUUGUGAUUGUAACUCUGUUACCUCCUUACCUUUUAGCAUACUGCCCACUACCUUGAAGAGAAUAGAGAUAUCUGGUUGCCGGAAUUUGAAAUUGGAUCCGCCUGUUGGUGAGAUGAGUAUGUUUCUCGAGGAAUUGAGUCUGAAGGGAUGUGAUUGUAUGGAUGAUUUGCUCCCAAGAGCGCACAAACUGAGAAUUUGGAGUUGCCAGAAAAUUACUAGGUUUUUGAUUCCUACUGCGACUGAAACACUCAAUAUUUGGAGUUGUGAGAAUCUUGAUAAACUUUCAGUGGCAUGUGGGGGGACCCAGAGGACGUGUUUGAAUAUUUGGGAGUGUAAGAAGCUGAAGUGGCUGCCAGAACGUAUGCGGGAACUCCUUCCAUCUCUUAAGGAACUGCAUCUGUGGGAUUGUCCAGAAAUAGAGUCCUUUCCUGAAGGAGGAUUGCCCUUCAAUUUACAAGCCCUUCAGAUCAAAUUUGCAAGAAACUGGUGAAUGGCCGAAAGGAGUGGCGUUUACAGAGACUCCCCUGUCUCACAAAGUUAACGAUUAUGCAUGAUGGGAGUGACGAAGAGAUUGUUGGUGGUGAGAAUUGGGAGUUGCCUUCCUCUAUUCAAAGACUUUUUAUAGAGAAUCUGAAAACAUUAAGCAGCCAACAUCUCAAAAACCUCACCUCUCUUCAAUAUCUAGCUAUUAAGGGUAAUUUACCUCAAGUUCAGUCAAUGUUGGAACAAGGCCAGUUUUCGCACCUCACUUCGCUUCAACGUCUACAAAUCAUUGAUUUCCCUAAUCUCCAUUCCCUUCCAGUAAAAGGGAUGCCCUCUUCUCUCUCUAAACUAUGUAUUUCAGAAUGUCCAUUGCUCACACCACUACUAGAAUUUGACAAGGGGGAAUACUGGCCAAAUAUUGCUCAUAUCCCCACCAUAAAGAUCAAUAAGGAAUGUCUUUAAUGAUUAAAACAAAUGGUGCUCUCAUAAAUGUAAGCUUUUCUUUUUCCUCAUAAGCAUUCUAUUUUCUUUAACUUCCUUUGCUUUUAUGUUAAUUCUUUUUCUUUAUUACAUUCUUGUUGCGCAGUAUGGAGUGUCUAUUGCCACUCUGAAACUGAGAAAUCAUCUUCAGAUUAGAAUUAUUUUAAUUUUAGAUCUCAAUAGCAAUUAAUGUUACAUAUCUUACUCGAAGAUUUUUAUCGCUUGAACUUUCAUCUCAAUAGCAAUUCACGUUGUUCAUAUUAUUUCCCUUUUCAGUCAGUUUAGAGUGAUCCACAUGUCCACUAUCGAAUUCAAAACUAUAAUAGAAUCCAAAGGUGUGCCAUACACAAGAUUUGUUUCCUAUGUAUCAAAAAUACAGAUGUUUGCCUCCCAAUAAAUUUAACACCUAAAAGCAUCAGCACUAUUCAGGUUUUAUUAAUGAUUCAGCCCCAUCAUAGAGAUCAAUUGGGAAUACAUGUGAUGAAUUAAAACAGAUGGCUCUCCAACUGAUGUAAGUUAUUCUUUUCCAUCAGAAGCUUUUAAUUUUGUUUACUUCACUUUGAUUUUUUUUUUAUUCUUUUCCUUUUUAAAACCUUGUUGAGCAGUGUGGAAUGUCUAUUGCUCAAGAAAGUUGAUUGCUUAAUAUAUGCUAGCAGGAUGUCAUCACCUUUGGAGAUAAAGGGUCCAAGAAAUACAACCUCACUUUCUCAAUCAGGUAACCAACACCUUGAUAAGAGUUACAUCACGCUUCAAAUUUAAAGAUAUUGAAAACGACUUAAAUUGCCUGCUUCCAUUAUUGACGUCAUAUUGUACCACAUUGAUUUCAAGUUUGAUGCGACUGCAUUAUUACAUCUAGUUUUUUUCAUAUUCAAAGAUCCAGAAUAUUACAUUAGUUUUUGGUUUUGAUAUGCAGAGAACUUUGAGGAUUAUGAAGUUUCCUUCAAAUUAUGUCCGUUACUCAACCUCGAGUGGCAACCUUACAGCUAGUGGGAAGUCAAGAAAGUAUAUCCUGCUCGGAAUGAAGUCAAGGUUAGAUAACUAAAUAAUGAUUUACUGGUGUUUCAGUUACUAGGAUGCUUAUUUUGUAGUAAUAGUUUGCACUCUCAUAAAUCAGCGAAAUAGAUUUCCUUCAUUGGCACUCUCAUCAGUCAUCAAUCAGCGAAACAGAGAAAUUAACGGUUUCAAAAUUCUCUGGAACCCAUUUCGAGCUUCACGCCUUCAAUUCUCAUGACACCCAAGACACAGAAGACAUCAACAUAGUAGAAGAAUUCAACCCAAUACCCAUUUCAACCCAAGUUUUCGAUUCCUGUUUCACCUGAUGAGAAGAAGUUUACGGGUGAGAAAGUUACAAAGGUGCAAAUAUCUUCUUCUAUCUUUUGUUUUACACAUCUUCUGAUUGAGUUAUAAUACAUGCCUCGCUUCUAUACAAAAUGAGAAACCAUAAAAUGCCUUUAUGAAGUGUUUGCUAAGUUGAUGUCACCUAAUUCAGAUUUCACUGAAUUAAUUUUUGAAACGUUGAAUGAUAUGGAUAUUUUCUUUUUAAGAAUACAAAAUCGCGAUAAAGGUAGAAAAUUUAGAUGGUAUUAAUUUUGAUAUGGAUCACCGUUGAGAACUUUGCCUGAGGUAUUAAAUUCUAUUUUCCCUCUUUAGAAAUGUUUCAUGUAGCUCCUAAUUGUGAUGCUUCAUUUACAUAUUUUUAAAAUUUUAUCUUAUAAUAGGGAUAAAGUGUGUCCGAGUCAAUUUGAUGUUACAGACUUGCAGCUAACUGUUGUGCAUUAUAUAAUUGCAUAUUUUUUAGACACCAGAUAUGGCCAAGUUCCAUCUACAAUGUUAACAGAAUCUUUGAUAGGUAAAGGAGGCAGACAAAAAAGCUAAACAUCUUUUUUCUUCCGUAUAGCUCCCAGGCAAUUACACUGGGCAAUGCUUGAUAUAAGGGCUUCAAAUAUACAUUUGCAGGGUGUUUAUCGUAUGAGUAAGGAAAUCACUGUCUUCGCUCCCCAGCAGACAGUGAUUGGAAGAUCCAUCCUCGCAUCACUUAGCACCUUCCAGCAGGCAAGCCUUUAUUUUUAAAAAUCUUCUCUUGCAUAUACUUUUGCAAUUUUAAACUUCAUUUUGAAUUGUGUUGUUGCUAACUUAAACAUGUUUUGUGCUUAAUCAGAUGUGGAUUUUGAACGGUGAGUACGACAAGUCUGGUCCAUCCAUUGUCCACAAGAAGUGCUUCUAAGGUGCUGCUGCUAUUUUUACAUCUGUUCGCAAGUUCUUUUUUAUUUUUUUGUUCUUCCCGCUAAAGCUAUUAUGUCGUCCACAGUGAACGCAUGUCUGCUGCUAUAGCCAAGUCUUUGAGAUGGGGUUAUCAAAGAAGGGCAAUUAAAAACAUUGUACCGCUGAUACUAUUUCAUGUUUCUAGUGCAAGCCUCUUUUAUAAGUUGACAAACUCGAUUUGUAAAUAUGUUUGGGACUCAACUAGUGGUUAGAGUUCUGAUUUUAUAAGAUUUGUGUACAGAAAAUCAAAGUAGAAAGAUAACUCGUGAUGGUUGAAUAAGCUCGAAGAAGUGGAUUUGAAUUUCAAAUCGUGUCUUUUUUUUUUAUGUGUGUGAGAUGUUUGAAGUGUUGUUUAGAUUUGUUGGAAUAGUCUAAAGAGAUUGUCUCUAUAAAAUUUGAAGACAUUUGAUGGAGAUCUGAUUAGAUGAUUUUGAACAACAAUUGCAACUGAAGAUGGAUAUGUAUAUUAUAUUUGUAGUUAGCAACGUGUUGUAUAUUUUUAUAGUCGAUAUAUUGUUUUCUCAUUCGGUGUUUGGUAUCCAUAUUGGAGUUUGACUAAAUUCGGAUUUCCUCAUUUCAACGGGCGGUGCUCUUGACAUGAUUUUUUCCAUUCCACGGCUCAUGCUCCAAAAUUCUAAUUAAGGAUAGAAAAAUCUCAACUAUCUCACCACAACUCAUAUCAGUUAUAUUGGGUAUACAAGUGUAAACUAAUAAUACUAUGAAACUAAUAAUAUUUAAUUUAUUUUAGAGGUAAGAUAAGGACAAAAUGGUAAUCCAACUUAGAGGUUAGGAGCUUCACACUUGUAAUAAUACUAAUAUAAUAUAUGGGCACGUGUGUUCCCAGUUACUUUUUAUAUAUAGAUACGUUAGAAUGAUUACAAUUUUAUGAAAGAAUGCGUGUAAUUAGUAAUAAAAUACAACAAUUACAAAUUAAUCUUUAAGAGUUUGACAAGAAACACCAAAUGAGAGGUGAAUUUUAAUGUUUAAAAUUAAUUAAGCAACCAACAUAAAUUUUGAACUAUAAUUGGUAGUUAGCAAACUUCCAAUAAAAUCACAAAGGGCUAAUUUGAGCUCAACAAAGAUAUACACACUUACUACAAUAAGAAAUUAAUAGAAAAUUAAAUUAAAGAAGUUUAAUGGAAGAGAAAACACACAAAAAGAUAGAGAAGGAAAAAAUACAACAUACACAUUUUUUUUAAGACUUAUAUCAUAACAAUAUAGAUGGAAAAAGAAGUACAAUACAUAAUUUUCAAGUUCUUGUGGAGGCUUAAUUAUCCAUAACCAAUCAAAAUUCAAAAGUCAUCUUCGUCGAGUCAAACUAAAACAUGAGCCAAAUAGUACAAUAAUGAUAUAAGUCGUUACUUUAACUAUAGAAUGAAAAUGAUAAUAUUCUUGAGUAGGGGUCUCAUGAAACAAAAAAAAAAUGAAUUUAUAUAGAUAAAAAUUAAGGAAUACCAAAAGAUAAGUUUUAAAUUAAAUGUUUGAAGGUUAUAUGGUGUUUUUUGGUCUGCACCUAAUUCAAUAAAGGAAUAGAAAAAGUCACUAAAGUGGCUGCUAGUGUUCUCUAUGUAUGUAUCAGUUAUAAUUUUCAUCAAAUAGAUGAAUGCCAUCUUGCAUUUAAUUAAUCAAGUGAAGUUAAUGUAUUGAAUUAAUCAUCUUUUUUUACUUCAUUGUGUAAAGUAUUUAAAUUGAAACUGACUUAGCACCUUCCCAUUUUUAGGAUUUAGUAUAUAAUAGGAUAUAAUUACUACUACAAUAUUUAAUUAAUUAAAUAAUCUUUUUUAUAAUUUUUAUUUAAUAUAUAGGGGUAAAACGGUAAUUCAACUUUGAACAUAAAUUCUUUCCAUUUUUAAUAAUACUAGUUUUUGUGAACGUGUGUUGCACGUUUAAUUUGUCCCUUGUAAUUACUACAAGAUUUCUAUAUAAUUUUUUUAAAAAAUAAAUAAAUUUCAUAAUAGAAAAUAUGCAUGUAUUUCACGCUACUUAGUAUUAAUAUUUGUAAAUGAUUUAAAUACAAUUACAAUAUGUAUAAAUAGUUAUUCAUAAAAUUAAGUAAUCAAAAAGAGAAGGAGUCUAAACACCAAAUUAAAGCUUAACAUCAAAUGGACAAUCUGACAAUCAUAUCAAAUAGUUUUAAGAAAUUGUAUCAUUUUGAUACGUAAAUUUCACAUGAGUUAUUAGUUGUGAAGAUGUCAUAUAAUGUUUGAAGAUAAUAUAUAAAAAUUUAUCAAUAUCCAUUACAUUAUUAUAGCAUCACAAUAAAUUAUACAACUUCAGAUGUACAUUAUGUUCAUCCCACAAAUAUUCGAAAAUAAGAUGAAAUAGAGUAGACUAAAAACAAUGAAAUAGCUAAUGAAUUCUAAAACCUUCAAAUAACAAAAAUUAAAGAGAGAAACCGUUCCAGUUUAAAAGAAUGGAGGAACUUCCUCAAUAACUAACAAAAGCAUAAAUAGAUUUACCUCUUUUUUAUUGCAUAUGUGAUGAGCAAUAACAUCCAUCAACAAUUAUACAUUAGAAUAACUACGUGUGUGCAUUAACAUAAAGUGAUAGUGAUGAGCAAUAUAAUUACAUCCACCAAUAAUCAUCCAUCAACAAUUAUACAUCGGAAUAACAAAGUGUAUGCAUUAAUAUAAAGUGAUUUUGAAAACAAUUUUUUGGUACGUAUAAUUAUAAGUCAUGAAUUAUAAAAGUCAUUUAAAAAUUGAUGAUAUACAUAACAUCUAUGAGAAUUAGAUUGGUUAAAGUUGGGAUAUGUAAAGUUUCUAACUAAAAUUUAAUUAUGUGUGUCAUAUUAAGAUGUCUGGUAAUUCAAAGGACAUUUUGUUGUUUAAUGUUCAAGGAUAUUUCAGUUUUUAAAGGAUAUAAAUAUUUUUGACCAUUGCCUCAGUGAGGUCGAGGAAGCAUCUUCAGAUCAGGAUGAAAUCUUUAUAUUUGCAUUCAAACAUUGUAAAAGAAAUCUAGUAUAGGUAGGAAUUGAGAUAAUUUGCUCCAGAAAGAACUCUUCUUGCAUUUUGUUUCCUUUGUUGCUCUGCAUAUGACCUUCAAUUUCAGUCAUUGUUUCAAAUUUUGUUUGCUCUGGUUCGACUCUGUGUUUAGUGUUUCUGAGUUUUUCUUCUCUUUUUUUUUUCAUCAGACUCUACUCUAUUUGUCGGCAAUCUUCUUUCUUUGUUUACCUGCUUUUGUUCUUGGGUGGAUCGAAUAUAAACAUUUGUGUACAUCUUUGGCUCUUCUUUGUUUGAUUCACUUUCUUCAAUUAGAUCAGAAAAUAUUUCUCUGAAGGCAUGUUGAUUUUAUUAUUUUACACGAUUUCUGUUUGUGUUACUUUUUCGAUUUCUAAUUUGUUUUAUUCAUGUUUUUUACAGUUUAAUUUUUGAUGCUUCCGAGUUUCAGCAGUCCUGAUUCCUGAUGUUUUCUGGGUGAGCAUGGUUCUCUCCUUUUUCAAGUUAACAACUUAUUUUAUAUUACUUUUGCUGAGAUUGAUUGUGAGUUGCAAGUUUCGCAAUGCAAUUUUUGUAUUAUGAAUCCUUGAUGGACUAUGGUGAAAAUUUACUUUUCUUUGUAGAAAAAACAUCAAAGAAUUAUACUACUAUACAAAUCAGGUUUGUUAAUAUUGAUACUGCUGAUGUUAAUAAUCACUUGGCUAUUGUGAAAUAUGUUGAGGAUAUUUACAAAUUUUAUAAGCUCACAAAGGUCUGGUGAAUAUCAGAUGUCUCUGUUUCAAUGCUGGGGUGAUUUUACUGUUAUAGUGGAUACGGUGAGUUACUUUAAUGUGACAAACAAUAGUUUUGUGAUUUUAUUGUGUAGUGUAUAAAAUUCAUGUUAUUUUGAUAAUUUGGCUGAUUCAGGAUGAACGUUGAUUGUAUUAUUACAUGGAUUCACAACCACACAUCAACGCCAGGGUCAAAGCUAGCAAUUUUUCUGGAAGGUUGAACUACUUGAAAAACAUGAAAGCUACAUUACUUCACACAGUUGCGAGAUGAAGAGAAACUUUUUAGGAUCUAUUGUCAAUAUUUUUAGCAUUGUUAGUACUGUAACUCUCAACUAAAAGCUGGACAAAGUUACAAUUUUCAUCAAAAAUCGGUAAUGGCAGAGGGGCGUUUCUUUGGUUAUUGCUCAAAACUACAACUGCUAGUGAUUAUUUCUCAUGUAGUGAUUUUUUUAUGGAAUCAAUGUGUUAUCAAAACAUUUACGUUUAGUUAUGUUAUAACACAAACAGUUGAGGAUUGCACAACCUUACUACUAAAUGUUCAGAAAUAGACUUCUUUCUUGAAGGAGGAUUGCCAUUCAAUUGACGACUUGUGAUCAUCAAUUGCGAGAAGCUGGUGAGUGGCCGAAACGAUUGGCAUCUCAAAGAGUUUAUAUGUGAUCUAGCAGAACACAAUAGAUUGGGAGGGGGUGGAGACAGGUUUUUCUGAUUAAAUUUGGCACUAGUACUCGAUUUCUUGAGUUUUUGCUUCAGUAAAAGGGAAAAAAGGCUAUUUCUUAGUCUGUAUUUUGUAGUUUUAGCAAACAAGCAUAUUGCUAACUGGUGUCAAUAAACCAAGAGUGUAUUGUACCUUUUUCAGGACAAUUAUGUUAUAUUAUAUGUUGGAUGUUUAUUUGUUAUUUCAUUUCCAUAAAACGGUGGAUCGUUGAUUUCAGUUCAUUCAUUGGGACAGAGUUGUACAUGGACCUAAAUAGGGACCUUACCACUAUCUUGUAGGGUAGAGAGGUUGUUUCCGAUAGACCAUCGGCUCAAGUAAACAUAGAAAAAAUAAUACCUUAGAGAAAAGGAAAAUGGAACAGAAUCCAAUUCUAAAACGUAUUCAUGAUAUGUUAGACCCAAUUAAGCACUACAAUGAGCUGUUGAAAAAUGAACAGUGCAUAAAGCAAAAGUAGUGAAUAAACAUAAAGCAAAAGAUAUCUUCCUCCAUUAUUCAAUUAGUGGAGUCAUACUUUUUGAAAAGAGAAAAGAGGACAGUUUUGCUUCUUGUAGAUUAGCUGAAACAUAGUUGUACUAAUUUCAAGCAAUCACUGAUCAUUCUUGUUUGCAAAUUACUCUCAACAUUCAACAGGUAAAGAAGUUCUCUCUUAGUAGUUGAAGCUAGAUAGAAAAAUUUGUCUUCUCAUCAAAAUCAUUUUGUGUUUUUCAGAAAUGGAGAUUGGCUUAGCAGUUGGUAGUGCAUUUCUCUCUUCAGCUUUGAAUGCUCUCUUUGAUAGGCUUGCUCCUCACGGUGAUCUGCUCAACAUGUUUCAGAAGCAUAAGCAUCAUGUUCGGCUCUUAAAGAAGCUGAAAAUGACUUUGCGUGGUCUUCAGAUUGUGCUAAGUGAUGCAGAGAAUAAGCAAGCAUCAAAUCCAUCUGUGAGUGACUGGCUUAAUGAGCUUCGAGAUGCUGUCGACUCUGCUGAAAACUUAAUAGAAGAAGUCAAUUAUGAAGCUUUGAGACUUAAGGUGGAAGGUCAACAUCAGAAUUUUGCAGAAACAAGCAACCAGCAGGUAAGUGACCUCAAUCUGCGCUUGAGCGAUGAAUUUUUCCAUAACAUAAAGGACAAGUUGGAAGACACUAUUGAAACAUUAAAGGAUUUGCAAGAGCAAAUUGGUCUCCUUGGCUUAAAGGAGUAUUUUGGUUCCACGAAACAAGAAACUAGAAGACCUUCAACUUCUGUGGAUGAUGAAUCUGAUAUCUUUGGUAGGCAGAGCGAAAUAGAGGAUUUGAUUGACCGUUUAUUGUCUGAAGAUGCAAGUGGGAAAAAGCUGACAGUAAUUCCUAUUGUGGGAAUGGGUGGCCUGGGUAAGACAACACUUGCUAAAGCCGUUUACAAUGAUGAGAGGGUGAAGAACCACUUUGGUUUGAAAGCUUGGUAUUGUGUUUCUGAGGGAUAUGAUGCUUUGAGAAUAACGAAAGGGUUACUUCAAAAAAUUGGCAAAUUUGACUCAAAGGAUGUCCACAACAAUCUUAAUCAGCUUCAAGUCAAAUUGAAGGACAGCUUGAAGGGAAAGAAGUUCCUUACUGUUUUGGAUGAUGUGUGGAAUGACAACUACAACGAGUACAUCAGAAUUUUGCAGAAACAAGCAACAAGCAAGUGACCUCAACCUUUGCUUGACUGAUGAAUUUUUCCUUAACAUAAAGGACAAGUUGGAAGACACUAUUGAAACAUUAAAGGAUUUGCAAGAGCAAAUUGGUCUCCUUGGCUUAAAGGAGUAUUUUGGUUCCACGAAACAAGAAACUAGAAGACCUUCAACUUCUGUGGAUGAUGAAUCUGAUAUCUUUGGUAGGCAGAGCGAAAUAGAGGAUUUGAUUGACCGUUUAUUGUCUGAAGAUGCAAGUGGGAAAAAGCUGACAGUAAUUCCUAUUGUGGGAAUGGGUGGCCUGGGUAAGACAACACUUGCUAAAGCCGUUUACAAUGAUGAGAGGGUGAAGAACCACUUUGGUUUGAAAGCUUGGUAUUGUGUUUCUGAGGGAUAUGAUGCUUUGAGAAUAACGAAAGGGUUACUUCAAAAAAUUGGCAAAUUUGACUCAAAGGAUGUCCACAACAAUCUUAAUCAGCUUCAAGUCAAAUUGAAGGACAGCUUGAAGGGAAAGAAGUUCCUUACUGUUUUGGAUGAUGUGUGGAAUGACAACUACAACGAGUGGGAUGACUUGAGAAAUAUAUUUGUGUACAAGGAGAUAUAGGAAGUAAGAUCAAGAUCAUUGUGACGACACGCAAAGCGAGUGUUGCCUUGAUGAUGGGAAAUGAGCAAAUUAGCAUGGACAGUUUGUCUAAUGAAGCCUCUUGGUCUUUAUUUAAAAGACAUGCAUUUGAAAACAUGGAUCCUAUGGGACAUCUGGAACUUGAAGAGGUCGGAAAACAAAUUGCAGCUAAGUGCAAAGGACUGCCCUUAGCUCUGAAGACGCUCGCUGGCAUGUUACGCUCCAAAUCAGAGGUUGUAGAGUGGAAACGUAUUCUGAGAAGUGAAAUAUGGGAGCUGCGAGACAAGGACAUAUUACCAGCGUUGAUGUUGAGCUACAAUGAUCUUCCCGCACAUUUAAAGCGAUGUUUUUCCUAUUGUGCAAUAUUUCCUAAAGAUUAUUCAUUUAGGAAAGAGCAAGUUAUUCAUCUUUGGAUUGCCAAUGGUCUCGUACCAAAGGAAGAUGAAAUAAUUGAAGAUUCAGGCAACCAAUACUUUCUCGAAUUGAGGUCAAGAUCAUUAUUCGAAAGGGUCCCAAAUCCUUUUGAAGGGAACAUAGAGAAAUUCUUAAUGCAUGACCUUGUCAAUGACUUAGCCCAAAUUGCAUCUUCAAAACUUUGUAUCAGGUUGGAAGAGAGCCAAGGAUCUCAUAUGUUGGAAAAAAGUCGGCACUUAUCUUAUUCAAUGGGAAAAGGUGGUGAGUUUGAGAAAUUAACACCCCUCUACAAAUUGGAGCAGCUGAGGACAUUGCUUCCGAUAUUUUUUGAUGUCAAUCAUGACUCUCUAAGCAAGAGGGUGCAGCAUAACAUACUGCCAAGACUAAGAUCCUUAAGGGCAUUAUCAUUGUCUCAUUACAGGAUUAAGGAGUUGCCGGAUGACUUGUUUAUCAAAUUAAAGCUCCUGAGAUUUUUGGAUAUUUCUAAGACAGAGAUUAAUAAGUUGCCAGAUUCCAUUUGUGGAUUGUAUAAUUUAAAGACACUUCUCCUGUCAUCUUGUGAUUAUCUUGAGGAGCUACCACUGCAGAUGGAGAAGUUGAUCAACUUGAGUCAUCUUGACAUAAGCAACACUUCUCGCUUGAAGAUGACACUACAUCUGAGCAAGUUGAAAAGCCUCCAAGUGCUAGUGGGAGCCAAGUUUCUUCUAGAUGGUUGCUCACACCAUUACUAGAAUUUGACGAGGGAGAAUACUGGCCAAAUAUUGCUCAAAUUCCCACCAUUGUGAUUGAUCGGGAGUUCCUAUGAUGAUUAAAACAAAUGGCUCUCCAACUGAUGUAAGUUAUUCUUUUCCUUUUUUAAAAAUCUUGUUGAGCAGUCUAUUGCUCAAACCACGGCUACUGACCAAAAAUUGUUCAUAUUUUUUUUUUCUAUUUAGAAACGGGAGUUUGGAAGGAUUCACAAUGGCAAGCCUGAUUCCUGAAGUUUUCUAGGUGAGCAUGGUUGUCUCCUUUUCAAGUUAACAACUUAUUUAUAUUAAUUUUGCUGCUAUUGAUUGUCAGUUGCAAGUUUCGCAAUUCAAUUUAUGUGUUACUACAUCUGGGAACGUGCGUUGCACGUUUAUCCCAAAAUACUUUAUAUAAAUUUUGUAUUGCAAAUAACAUAUUCUAUCCCCUCUAAAUCUAUAGUAUUUACUAAAAAAAAAUUCAUCACAUAUAUCUUUAUAAAUAUAUAUAUAUAUAUAUGAUUAUUAAAUUGACUAAAAGUGUAUAGAGUAAAAAUAACUUCCAAGUAAUAGUCAUCAGUUAGAUGAGAUAAUAGAUGUAGAUAGAGAUAUAGAAAUAUUCAAGCAAAAUAAAUUAAAAUUAUUAAAUCCACAAGUUCUAUAUAAUACAGGACUAUUUUCGUCAAUAGCACACUUAUACAGACAUUAUAGAGAAGAACAAUUGAGUGUAUCAGAAAACGAUAGUGAAAGUAUAAAUUUAAUUAGUAAAUAAUCUAUGCAAGAAAUACAAAAAAGACGAAUGAAUCUCAUGCAUAUGAGAUUGGUAGUAAUCGGACUUAAAGGUUUAACUAGAAAAAAUUUAGGUACUAAAGUAUUAAUCACUUUAUAUGAUAGUAGAUGGUCAGAAUCUAAAAGAUCCAUAAUAGGUUUAACAGAAGUCGACAUGAGUAAUAAUGGAGGAAUUUUUUACUGUAGUCCAGAUUUCAUGAUAAAUUCAAAAGAAUUUGGAAAAUACAUAAAAAUAGGCAUACAAACCAAGGGUUACGAAGAAAUGAACUGUGGAAACAAUCUAUUAGUUUGUGUUGGCUUCAUAGGAAAAUUAGCAACCAACAGUAGUUCAAGGUUUAAAAUAAAAAUAGACAAUGCGGUAGGCAUAAUGGGAAAUAAAGGAAUAAAAUUAAUGAAACUUUUAAAAAUAAAUUCAGAAGAAUAUGCAGGUAGAGAAUGGAAUUUAGAAAAAUUCUAUAAAAAAGAAGUGUUAAGACCAAAUGACCACCUCACAUACACAAAUAAUAAAGGUGAGACAUCAAUCAGAUUCACUGAUUAUAAAUAUACAAAUCAAAAGAAAUAGAUGAAGAUUUAGAAGAUAAUGAAUCAACCAUAAAUAUGGAAGGAAUGAAUGUUCAGAUCAAUAAAGAAGAAGACUAUGAAGUAGAUAUAUCAAUAGCAAAAGCUAAAGAAAUACACAAGUCAAAUAAAGAAAAUUUAUUUAAAUGUAAAGGAUGUAAACUAGGAAAACUAAAAUUUUCUAUAGUAGAAAAACACUUCAAAGAGUGUAAUUUUAGAACAGACAAUUAUGGAUUUCGCCAGAAAGAAAAAACACAGGAAGAAAGUGAUGAUGAAACAACACGUAGUUUAAAAGAAUUAGAUGAAAGCGAUGAUGAAACAACACGCAGUUUAAAAGAAUUUAUGGAAACCGCUUCUUCAAGCUCAAGUCCCUUCCAAAAGACAACCCCAAUACCACCAAUAGAAUAUACUAUAGGUAAUUUACCACAACACCGUGUAUUUAGACAAGACCCGAUGACAGAACCAGAAAUGGUUAGACCUAUAGGAAUAAUAAUGCCAAUAGAAGCCCCCAUCAAACUCCAAGACAGGGGAGAUAGAUGAAAAAUACUAAAUAUAUCGGCUCAUGACCCUCAAUUAUGGAACUCAGUACUAGAUGUAUGGAAAGGAGUAGUAGUAGCAGACAACAUACACCAUUAUAGUGAAACAGAUGCAGAAACUAUGUAUAGAUACAUGGAAACCUUUCUAGGAGAAUCAAUCAAAGGAGUAUGGGAAGAAUAUAAGGUAGCUUACCCUCAAGAAUUCCAAGAACUAGUAAAUAUAGGACCAAACUCGUAUAAUUUUACUAAUAAAAUACACAGCCUGAUAACAGGAGAAGACCCAAAUAGCGGAUUAGUAGUGUUACAAAAGAAUGCACUAAUAAAAUUAGAACAACUUAGCAAAACAAAUUGGAGUCAUAUAAAGAAUUUUUUAAAAGACUAUUUUUACUAUUGCGCUAUAAGCGGUAAUGCGUUUGACCAAAGCUUGGGGAAAAAACUUUUUAACAAACUCCCUGGAGCCUUAGGAAGAGAAAUAGAGGAAAGAUGGAACAAAAGAGAGGGAGUAAUGACAAAACCCAAAUGCCAACUGGUCUAUAGGACAUAAAAUACAACAUGUCAUGGAAAUAUUACAAGAGAAAUGUACAAAUAUACAAAUACAAAAAUAAUUAAAACAAAAUGAGACUAGUUUUUGUAAGAAUAUAUAUACAACACAAAGCUAUGAUCAAAGUACACCAAAAAGAAAAUACAGAAAGACAUAUCAAAAUAACCAAGACUACAAACCUAGGAAAAGGUAUUAUCUAAGAAAAUCUACGGCAAAAAAACCUUACCUAAAUAAAGAUAGACAUGUAAGAAAACAAUAAUAAUAAUAAUAGAAUUUACAAAAAUAAGACUAUCUUGUUUUACUAUGUGGAAGUGAAGAACAUCUAGCUAAUACUUGUCCAGGUAGAAAUAAUAGUAGAACAAGAAAUGCCCAACUUAUAGAAGACUUCCAAGAAACCCUGAUAAAUGUAGAUGAAUACAAGUCAGAUAAUGAGAGCAUAUAUUUAGUAAUAAGCAUAGAUGCUAUAGAAGGAAGACAACAAGAUUCGUCUGAUUCAGAAGAAGAAACUUUAAUAAACGAGAUAGGAUUAGAAAAAUUAGACUUAAACAUGAAAGAUUUUACCUUUGUUAAUAUACAAUGCGAUCACCAAUUCUCCAAAGCAAAAGGGUUAGAUAGUCAAAAAUGCUUUAAUUGCACAUGAUACCCCAGUAAAGACAGAAGAGCUAAAUGUAUGAACUGCUAUGUAGAGGGAUGCCUUAUGUGCAUCGACAUGAUAUUUAACAUAAAAGUUAUAGACCAAACAAGAAGUACAAAAGAAAAAACAUUAAUAUCUUUAGAAAAAAGGAUUGAUAAUUUAGAGGACAGAAUAAGUAAAUUAGAAAAGGGAAAAGAAAAAUUAGAAGAGGGAACCAACCAAAACACAACGCCAAAAGAGGAAAUCGAGCUCUUAAAUGAAAAGGAGGACUAUAAAUCAUUUGAGGGAUUAAUUUGUAAUGAAGACAAGAAAAUUAAUACUAUCAAAAUAUUAACAAGAAUAAGAAUUCAAGACUACGAAAUAGAAACUUUAGCUCUAGUAGACUCUGGAUGUAAAAGUAUAAUAGAUAGAAGUAUCCUGCCUCUAGAUAUAAUAAAAUAAUUUCCAGAGCCACAAAGCGCCAUGCAAAUGGAUGGAUCUUCAAAUGUAUAUAAACAUUAUGUUAGUAAUGCUCAAAUAAGUUUUUUAAAUACAUGUGAAAACUUUUAUAAACACAUGUAUAGAUUAGAAAAAAUAUGGGUUAGAGACUUAAAUAUUAUAGUAGACUUUGUUUUAGGUUUAGACUUCUUAUUACAUAACAACGGAUGUUGUCGCCUUACUAGAGACGGAGUAAUAUUCUCUAAAAAUAUGACUCAUACCUCAAUAACAACAGAAUCGUUUCCAACGAAAUCUAGGUAUCUUAAAAAUACUGAUAAACUUAAUACAAACACUUCAAAAUGUAAUAAAGGAGAAGAAUGUAAUUAUACUAAGAUACAUGUUAUUGAAGAAGAAAUUGAAUUAUUAGAGCUAAGUUUAUCUGAUAUACAACUAGAGAAAAGUUAUAACUUAAUAGAAAUAAAUACAGAAUUUUAUAAUUUCAAAAAAGGAUUACAACAUAUAGGAGUCAUAAAAAAUCAAAAAGACCUAGAGGAGGUAAUUUCCAUCUUAGAUAAAUUAGAGAUAAUUGGAGAAAGACCUUUAAAGCACUGGGAAGCCAAUCAUAUAACUUGCAGACUGGAUAUCAUUAACCCAGAAUAUACUGUUAAAACUGAUUCAAUAGAAUCCACAAAUGAAGACCUAAAGGAAUUUGAAGAUCAGAUAAAAGAAUUACUAAAUUAGGGAGUGAUAAGAAGAUCAACUUCAAGACAUAGGUCAUCAACAUUUGUGGUAAGAAAUCAUAAUGAAAUAUUAAGAGGAAAAGCUAGAAUGGUAAUAAACUAUAAAAGACUUAAUGACAAUACCAAAAUGGAUGGAUAUAAGUUGCCAGAAAGAUCAAAAUUAAUAAAUCGAAUGCAAGGAAGAAUUUUUUUUAGUAAGUUUGAUUGUAAAUUCGAAUACUGGCAAGUCAAAAUGUAUGAAGACAGUAUAGAAUAGAAAACUUUCACUUGCCCAGAAGGACAUUUCGAAUGGUUGGUAAUGCCCUUCGAUUUAAAAACAGCUCCUCCGAUCUUUCAGAGAAAGAUGGACAAUAUAUUUAGAGAUUAUAAAAAUUUUAUUUUAGUAUAUGUAGACGAUAUCUUAGUAUUUAGUAAUAAUGCCAACAAACAUCUAAGACAUUUACAAACGGUGUUUAAAUUAUUUGUAGACAAUGGAAUUAUAAUUAGCAAAAAGAAAAUGGAAUUAUGUAAAAAACUAACAGUGGUUUCUCCUCCAACAGUCAAGUAACUAGCACUGGUUAUUCCAGCAAGAGCUCUUACUCUAACAGAACUAGUACCGUCAACUCCAAUUGUAGCAGCAGGAAUGUCUUCACCACCAGAUAAAUCUUAUAAAAUUCCUAGGGGUAGAAAUUGGAAAUGGAAAGAUAAAAUUACAACCCCAUAUAGCAAAAAAGGUUCUCGACAUGCUUGAUAAAUUAGAUAAUACUAAAGACUUACAAAAAUUUCUAGGAAUAUUAAAUUAUGCACGAAGUUUUAUAAAAGACCUAGGAAAAGUAACAGGACCCUUAUAUUCUAAAACAGGAAUUCAUAGGCAGAAGACAUUCAAUAUGGAAGACAUAAAAUUAGUACAAAAGCUUAAACAAAUGGUUAAAAAUAUACCAGAUCUAGCCCUCCCACUAAAAACUGACUGCCCAAUAGUGGAAACCGACAAAAGUCUAGAAGGAUGGGGAGCAGAAUUAAAAACAAAGAACAAUAAAUAUAUAGAAAAGAAAGACGAAAAAAUUUACGCCUAUCACAGUGAAAAAUACAAGGAAAAAGGAAACAUGAGUAGCAUAGAUGCAGAAAUUCUAGUAGUCAUAUAUGGACUAAAUAGCUUUAAAUUAUUUAUUAUUAAUAAAAAAGAAAUUUUAGUAAGAACUGACUGCAAAGCUUUUGUAAAAUUCCACCAGAAAAUAGAAGGAAAAAAUAGUAGUAAGAGAAGAUGGCUAAAUUUUUUAGACGCUACAUCAAUAUACAAUAUAUUUUUAGAAUAUAUAAACGGAAAAGAUAAUUCCUUAGCAGAUCAACUAAGCAGACUCAUGAAAACUAAUUAUUUAUUUUCAGAAUGAGUACAUGUAAGAACAAAGACAAGGCAUCCAGUUCAAGUUCAAGUAAUAGUGGGCAAAAAGACAAAGAUAUAUACUUAUAGACAUUAUUGGGAAACACUUCGUUUAGACCACAUACAAGAGAAGAAGAUGCAAGGAUAAAUACUCCUAUAGAAAGACUAUACUUUGGAAGACAAAAUUUAAUAUUUUAUCCUCCAUCUAAUUUAAGUUUCAGAGUAAAGCCAGAAACAAAAAUAGAUAAACAUCAAAGAUGUUUGAUAGACAAUCUAUGGAUAGCAUAUAACAAAAUUUUGAAAGACAAUAGCUAUUUUAUUUCAGUAUUAAACUCAGUAAGUUAUUAUUUUACGGAGAAAAAUGAAGACAAAAAGUUUAAAUUCUACGUAGUAGUUCGAGGAAAGCUAGCAGGCAUCUUCCAGACUUGGAUCGAGGUGAUAGACUCAAUUAAAGACUUUCCUACCCCAUUUUUCAAAGGAUUCAACGAUUUAAAUAAAGCACUAGACUAUGCUAGAGGAACUCUUGGGCCAAAUUAUUUCAUAAGCCCAGCUUUAAGACAAACUUCAAGACCUUUCCUGCAAUACAAUAUUCGAAAGGAUACUGACAAGAUAAUCUUCUGCGAUCAUUGUUCUUCAAUGACUGAAGGAUUCAAAAUACUAAACCAGACAAUUGAGAAACUAGAGACUGAGAAAGGGGAACUGACACAACAUAUCCACUCAUUACAAGAAAAAAUAAGGUUCUUCCUUGGAAAUACUAAUCAAACCAUACCAUUACAAAUACAAGACUACUCAAAAGGACCAAAGAGUUCUCCAUCUCAUCUUAAAAUGGAUAAGACGGGUGUUCAUCCUCCAACGAAUGUAGAAAGAGCUAUUGUAUCAGCUAAAUGUACAACUAGUCCCGUUCAAAUGGUAGCGGGUAAAGAUUCAUCAAAUCCGUUGAUGGCUGACACUUUGCCAAAAAGUGUUAAAAACAAAUUUGAAAAUAUUUGUUAAAAACAAACUUAAUUUUUUUGAAAUUGGGGGGUGGGGGGUCGCGGGUAGGGAGUGGNNNNNNNNNNNNNNNNNNNNNNNNNNNNNNNNNNNNNNNNNNNNNNNNNNNNNNNNNNNNNNNNGGGGAGGGGGUCGAGGGUAGGGGUGGGGUGGGAUGAAAAAUAAAAAAUUUAAAUUGGAAAUAUUUUUUUAAAAAAAAUUAUUUUUUUUGUGGGGGGGAGGGGUAGGGGGUGAGGUAAAAAAAUUUAAAAUUGAAGGCUUUAAAUUUAUUUUUUUCAACAAAAAAAUAAUAAUUGUAAUUUGAAGUUGGAGAGAGUUUUGGAAAACGUUUUUCUUAAUUUUUUGAAAGUAAGUCAUUUUCCUUAAAUUUGAGAAAAAUGAGUUAAUUUGAAAAUCAUUCUCCAAAACGUUUUACCCAACCAAAUAUGAUAAAAUUGAAAUACAUUUUCCGAAAAUGUUUUCCUUCAUACCAAACACACCCAAUAUGAUGAAUCAAUGAUGGAUUAUGGUGAAAUUUACUUUUUUCAUAGAAAAAUAUCAAAGAAUUAUACUAUUCAUGUUUGAUAAAAUAUCCUUCAAUAAGACCUGGUGAAUAUCAUAUGUCUCUGUUUCGAUGCAUCUUAUAAAUCCUAUUGAAAUUCUGUGAGGUUGCUCGUGUCCUUUGGUUGGUGGGCUUAAUUUUUUGAACUGUGAAUGCAUCUUAACAUAAUUUUGAUUUUUGAUGGGUUCUCCAAAUCUAACAAUUUUAUUUGGGAUCCCUUUUUUUAGGGGGAAAGUCUCAAAUGGGAAAUAAAGUUGGCACUUUGAAGAUUUUGAAGCUAGAAUUUGUGAGCUCUCUCUUUGUCUACACAAAUUUCAAACGGCCUGUUAUAGCUUCAAGGUAAUCGUCUUCGGAAAUUUGAAUUCUUUUGGUUCUUAUUUUAAUCUUGCACAAAAGUGUAACAUUUACCCUUUGUUUGGAUCAUUGUUACCCAUUAUAUUGUAUCGUUACUAUACCUACAAUGUUUGUUUUGAUUAUUACUUAAAAUAUAUUGUAUUGUAUUGUUAAAUUUCGUUGUUACGUAACAAUGAAAACCUCUAUUUUAUGGAACAACCAAUUUGGUGUGUUCCCAAUUGUUACUUAAUUUCUUUUUCCAAUUAUAUCUUUUACAUAAUAUUUCAAAAUACUAUUUUAUCCUUUACCUUAUAUUAUUUAAUUCUAAUCAAACCUCCUACUCUACAUAUAUACAAAUGGCUUACAUAUACCAUUUUCCUCUAACAGAGAUGAAAAAAAUUAAUUUUAGUUUAAUUUUUUUUAAAAAAAAAAAAACUAUAAUCCCAUAUGAGUAUAUUUAAUCCUCCUCAAACAUAUAUUUUUUUUGUUUCAAUGACUAAUUUAAAUUUAUUAUUUUAAUGGUCAAAUUUAUUUAUGUUUCACUAAUAUUCUUGUAAAACUUAUUAUUGUUUACAUCUCCGCUUUAUUCAAAUAGGGCGAAACGUCCUGAUGACUCAAAAAAUAAACAAUUGAUUCAAUUUUAAAUUUUUUUUAAGAAAAUAAGAAUUUUAAAGGAGUCACCACCUAAUUUUAGGAAACCAAUUAAAUGAUCUACGAAACCAAGAAAUUUUAGGUAAGGGGUUCAAGUUAAUUCGAAGGAAAAGUGUUAGGCAUCAUUCGAAAUUCACAAUUGUGAGUUCCGACCGAAUUCAUUUUUUCAAAUUGAGGAGGAAGUAAAAAUAGUAUACAAAUAUAACAAACAUACAAUAUACACAAGUAAUAUGAGAAACGACCUAAUAUUUGCCUAUCAUCAAUAAUAUACAUAAUAAUGAUUAUAAUAUUCGAACUUUAUUCGAAUGGCUUCGAUGAGAAACGACUUCGGGGUACCUAUAAAGACACUUAAUAAAAGUGUUAAUACUAAAUAUAUAUGAAUAAAAAUAAAUAAAGCAAAUAAUAACUUAAAAAUAAAAACUCAUCUUAUUAACAUAGGAGGCCUUAGAAAUAGACUGUAAUUUCUUCAUCGGCCAAUUUUAACAAAUAAAAUAUACAAACUUAAAUUAAAUUUUCGUCUUUUGCAAUGUAGAGGCCUCCAAAACCGACGGAAAUUUUUUUUCAUUAGGCAAAUUAUAGCAUUUACUUAACAUGAAUUAAGGAAAUAAUCCUAUAGUAAAAUUGACAAAACCCUUCGGGGUGGCCCAGUGGUUUGGGCUUGGGACUUCCAUGUUGGAGGUCUCAAGUUCGAAACCCCUUGCCAGCGAAAGCAAGGGUUUGCCCUCUGGGUCGAGCUCAUCGCACCGGGCUUGCCUAGUGCGGGUUACCUCUCCUAUGUGGUUUGCGAGCUAUUGCAUAAGAGCGGGGGUUUUACCCUGUGCGCAUCCAAAGGGUAGCAGCUGCGGGUUUCCCUUGUCAUCAAAAAAAAUAAAAUUGACAAACAUUAUAUUUAAACUAGCUCAAAAAGAAUAACAAAUUAAUAACGGACAAUGCACAGAUAAUGAUAAAAUAAUUUCGACACUUUUCUAAAAAAAACAACUACUAGUGCUAACAACAUCAAAGAAAUAAAUAAAUUAAGAAGAAUAAUGGAAGUAAAAUCUGUAAUCUAAACAAAAAUAAAAAUAAAAAAUGAAACCGAACACCACAAUCACAAUAGUAUCUAAAUGAAGUAUAAUCUGUAACCGAUUAAAAUAAUAAUAACAAUAAUAAACAAAAGAGGAAACAAAGGCAUAAUAAUAACAAUAAAAUAAAUCCACAACUUAGAGAAAAUUACAAUACUCAACCUUCUUUAAUUAAUAAUUAGAAAUUACCAUUAUGUGCCACUUUAUACGAAUUGAGAGAAUUAACCACAAAUAAAUAGACUAAUCAAGAAUAGCUAACUAUAGUAUCCAAAAUAAACUAAACAAAAAUAAUGGAUUCGAAAGCACAUUCAUAAACUGUAAACGUAAACAAUAAUAAAAAGAAAUCAAGGAAUAACAGAUACAAAAAUUACCGAUCCCGGUCUGGUUCCUGGCGACUUCGUUGUUUUGAGCUACUAUUCGCCGGAGUUGUUUUGCCAGAGUUCGGAAUGUUGGUUGUUGUUAUUGUUACCUCCUGGAGGAGCUCGUGGGUGGAGCUGGUGUGGUCAGCCUCUGGUUUCGAUGAGUUGGAGCUUGGAGCUCACUGGCUGUUGUUCGCCUGGGCUUCGUGGGUUUUGAGCUACUUCUUGCUGGGGUUGCUGGUUCAACGAGCAAAGGGGAGAACGAGGAUGGGGUUUUGGGUUGGUUUCGCCGGAAAAAGGGUGAAGAGAGUUGGGGUCUUAGUGGUGGUUUUGGUGGUGAUUUUGGCUGAAGGGUGGUGGCGUUUGGGUGGGUUGGAGAGCUGCUGGUUGCAGCAGAGAAAACAGGAGGGGUUUUGGGUCUGUUUGGUUGGCUGAUUUUGUGGAUUUGGGGUCUAUUUGGAUCGUGGUUUUGCCGGAAAAAGAGGUGAACGGAGAUGGUUUGUUGGGUUGGAGUUUCUCGGAGGUUGUUUGGUUGUUGUUAAUGGUUGUUUUCGGUGGCUUUUGGUCUUUGGUGGUGGCUGGAUUGUUGCUGGAAACGAAAAGGGGGGUGAGCACUGGCUCGCCGGAAAUGGAGUUUGAGUGGUGAUGAGGAAGGAGGGUGGCGGCAGCUUUGACAAGAUGAUAGAAAAAUCGUUUUUGGUUUCAGUCAUUUUGAAAUUUUUCACCACUUGGACUAAAAAUAUUGUUCAUCCUCUUCACUUAAUGAAUAAGCUAUUGUUUAUAUAGAAAAUUGAAAAUUAUCUAUAGUAUAAUACGAUUAUCUUAAAAUCAUGGGCUGAAACCAUUAGUUAAAUAAAAUAUUUGUAUAUAAAUCUUAUUUAUAUUUGAAUCAAUUUUUAGACAGUGCAAAAUAUCAAAAUUAAUAUUAGCAAAUGUAACAAAUAAAAAUGAAUAUUAUUAAAAAAAAGGAAAGUAAUGAACGUAACAAAUGACAUGUAUAAAGUGCAAUUUAAUAGAAAUAACUAUUUAAUCAAGAUGAACAAAUAUUUGAACGUAUUUAACCAGCUAUGACAAAAAAUAAUGAAAUUAAAAUUAACUGAUAAAAAAUCCUAAAUUUUGACAAAUAAAAAUAAUUAUCGAUAAACUUAUUUAAAAUUAUAAAAAAUGUAUUUUGAACAAUUAAAUAAAUAAAACUUAAAAGUUACGAAUUUUGAAAAUGUUAGGUCAAAAUUGGGUGUCAACAAUUAUAGAUGACCUUUUUUUUUUCUUCAAAUACAAAAAUUAAAUUACAAUAUAGACAAAAAAAAAAUUGUUUUAAAUUAUAAUAUAGCUGCAAAAAAAUAGUUUUAAUUUUUUUUUCUUUACACCAAGGAAUGAAAGAAAAAAUAAAAUAAGAAUAAGAAACUAAAAUAAUGAAAAUCAAAGAAGUCAAAAAAUAAUUUAUGUAUGAAAAAAAUUGAAAUAUACCUUGAACUUUGCAGAAGAAUCUUAUAUAUCCCUAAAUGAUUUUUAAAACAAUUAAAAGUCAAAAAUAUAAAUUUAAAAUUAAUUUUUUCACUUCCGUUAAAUGAAGAUAUAUGUGAGCUCAUUUUGUAACGAUAGGGUAUAUGUGAGCCGUUUAUAUAACAACAAAGGUAUAUAUGAGUCACUUUCAUAACGAGGACAUAUCAACUCUAAAUAAAAAAAUUGACAGGUAUAUCAGACCCUUUUCCCUAGAAAAAAUAAUACCUUAGAGAAAAGGAAAAUGGAACAGAAUCCAAUUCUUCACAAUUCUAAAACGUAUUCAUGAUAUGCUAGGCCAAACUAAGCACUACAAUGAGCUGUUGAAAAAUGGACAAGUGCACAAAGCAAAAAGUAACGAAUAGACAUAAAGCAAAAGAUACCUUCCUCAAUUAUUCAAUUAGUGGAGUCAUACUUUUUGAAAAGAGAAACGAGGACAGUUUUGCUUCUUGUAGAUUAGCUGAAACAUAGUUGUACUAAUUUCAAGCAAUCACUGAUCAUUCUUGUUUGCAAAUUACUCUCAACAUUCAACAGGUAAAGUAAGUUCUAUCUUAGUAGUUGAAGAUAGAAAAAUUUAUCUUCUCAUCAAAAUCAUUUUGUGUUUCCUUGUUUUGAUUUGCAGAUUUCAGAAAUGGAGGUUGGCUUAGCAGUUGGUGGUGCAUUUCUUCUCUUCAGCUUUGAAUGUUCUCUUUGAUAGGCUUGCUCCUCAGGGUGAUCUUCUCAACAUGUUUCACAAGCAUAAGCAUCAUGUUCGGCUCUUCAAGAAGCUGAAAAUGACUUUACUUGGUCUUCAAGCUGUUCUAAGUGAUGCAGAGAAUAAGCAGGCAUCAAAUCAAUUUGUGAGCCAGUGGCUUGAUGAGCUUCGAGAUGCUGUGGACAUUGCUGAAAACUUAAUUGAACAAGUCAAUUAUGAAGUUUUGAGGCUUAAGGUUGAAGGUCAGCAUCAGAAUCUUGCAGAAGCAAGCAAUCAGCAAGUAAGUGACCUUGACCUGUGCUUAAGUGAUGAUUUUUUUCUUAACAUAAAGGAGAAGUUGGAAGACACCAUGGAAACAUUGGAGGAUUUGGAAAAGCAAAUUGGCCGCCUUGGCUUAAACGAGCAUUUUGGUUCGACUAAACAAGAAACUAGAACACCUUCAACUUCUUUGGUUAAUGAAUCUGAUAUCUUUGGUAGGCAGAGCGAAACAGAGGAUUUGAUUGACCGUUUAUUGUCUGAAGAUGCAAGUGGAAAAAAUCUGACUGUAGUUUCUAUUGUUGGAAUGGGUGGCGUGGGUAAGACAACACUUGCUAAAGCGGUUUACAAUGAUGAGAGGGUGAAGAACCAUUUUUGUUUGAAAGCUUGGUAUUGUGUUUCUGAGGCAUAUGAUGCUUUCAGAAUAACAAAAGGGUUACUUCAAGAAAUUGGCUCAUUUGACUUAAAGGAUGACAACAAUCUUAAUCAGCUACAAGUCAAAUUGAAGGAAAGCUUAAAGGGAAAGAAGUUUCUUAUUGUAUUGGAUGAUGUGUGGAAUGAAAACUACAAUGAGUGGGAUGACUUGAGAAAUAUUUUUGUACACGGAGAUAUAGGAAGUAUGAUAAUUGUAACGACACGUAAAGAGCGUGUUGCCUUGAUGAUGGGUAGUGGGGCAAUCAACGUGGGGACUCUGUCUGAUGAAGUCUCUUGGGAACUAUUCAAACGACAUUCACUAGAAAACAGGGAUCCUGAGGAACAUCCAGAACUUGUAGAGGUUGGAAAACAAAUUGCACACAAGUGCAAAGGAUUGCCUUUAGCUCUAAAGGUACUUGCUGGUAUUUUACGCUGCAAAUCAGAGGUGGAUGAGUGGAGAGACAUUUUUGAGAAGUGAAAUAUGGGAGCUUCCAAGUUGUUCGAAUGGUAUAUUACCAGCGCUAAUGUUGAGCUACAAUGAUCUUCCUGCACAUUUGAAGCAAUGUUUUGCUUAUUGUGCAAUAUAUCCUAAAGAUUAUGAAUUUUGCAAAGACCAAGUUAUUCACUUGUGGAUUGCUAAUGGUCUUGUACAUCAGUUGCAUUAUGGUAACCAAUACUUUCUCGAGUUGAGAUCAAGAUCACUGUUCGAAAGGGUCCCAAAGUCUGCAUGGAAACUGGAAGUAUUCUUAAUGCAUGACCUUGUCAAUGAUUUGGCCCAAAUUGCAUCUUCAAAUCUUUGUAUAAGGUUGGAAGAGAACAAAGGAUCGCAUAUGUUGGAACAAUGUCGGCACAUGUCCUAUUCAAUAGGAGAAGGUGGUGAGUUUGAGAAAUUGAAAUCACUCUUUAAAUCAGAGCAGCUGAGGACAUUACUUCCAAUCAAUAUGCCUUUCUAUUGCCAAAAUAAGCUAAGCAAGAGGGUGCUGCAUAACAUUUUGCCAAGACUAACAUCCUUAAGGGCAUUAUCGUUGUUACGCUAUGAAAUUGUUGAGUUGCCAAAUGACUUAUUUAUCGAAUUAAAGCUCCUGAGAUUUUUGGAUAUUUCUCGGACAAAGAUUAAAAGGUUGCCAGAUUCCAUUUGUGUGUUGUAUAACUUAGAGACACUUCUCCUUUCAUCUUGUGAUUAUCUUGAGGAGCUACCGCUGCAGAUGGAGAAGUUGAUCACCUUGCGUCAUCUUGACAUAAGCAACACUCGUGCCUUGAAGAUGCCACUAUAUCUGAGCAAGUUGAAAAGCCUCCAAGUGUUAGUGGGAGCCAAGUUUCUCUAGGUGGUUCGAGAAUGGAAGAUUUGGGUGAAGUACAUAACUUGUACGGAUCUCUAUCAGUUGUAGAGUUGCAAAAUGUGGUUGAUAGUAGGGAAGCUGUGAAGGCAAAAAUGAGAGAGAAGAAUCAUGUUGAGCAGUUAUCUUUGGAGUGGAGUGGAAGUAGUAGUGCCGACAAUUCACAAACAGAAAGAGACAUACUUGAUGAGCUACGCCCACAUAAAAACAUAAAAGAAGUCGAGAUCACCGGAUAUAGAGGGACAACAUUUCCAAAUUGGCUAGCUGAUCCUUUGUUUCUUAAUCUAGUAGAGUUGUCUAUUGAUAACUGCAAGAACUGUUAUUCCUUGCCAGCACUAGGACAACUCCCUUGUUUGAAAUUCCUUUGGAUUAGAGGGAUGCAUGGAAUAACAGAGGUGACGGAAGAAUUCUAUGGCAAUUUGUCCUCCAAAAAGCCUUUUAGCUCUCUUCAGGAGCUUGGAUUUGUUGAUAUGCCGGAGUGGAAGCAAUGGAACAUACUAGGAAUUGGAGAGUUCCCUAUACUUGAGAACCUUUCAAUUAUAAAUUGCCCUGAAGUCUGUUUGGAGAGACCCAUCCAACUUUCAUGUUUAAAAAGGUUUGCAGUUUGUGGUUGUCCUAAGGUUGGAGAAGCUCAAAUGUUUAGAUCCCAACUUGAGGGAAUGAAGGAGAUUGAGAAUUUAGAAAUUAGUGAUUGUAACUCUGUUACCUCCUUUCCUUUUAGCAUACUGCCCACUACCUUGAAGAGAAUAACCAUAUAUCGUUGCGAGAAAUUGAAAUUGGAGGUGCCAGUUGAUGAGAUGAGUAUGUUUCUGGAGGAAUUGACACUGUAUAAAUGUGAUUGUAUAGAUGAUAUAUCACCUGAGUUUUUCCCAACAGCACGCCAUUUGAAUGUAGAGGAUUGCCACAACCUUACUAGGGUUUUGAUUCCUACUGCCACUGAAAGACUCACUAUUUUGAAUUGUGAGAAUCUUAAAAUACUUUCGGUUGCAUGUGGGGGAACCCAGAUGACAAUUUUGUAUAUUGAGGGCUGUUGGAAGCUGAAGUGGCUGCCAGAACGUAUGCAGCAACUCCUUCCAUCUCUUAAGGAACUGUAUCUCUAUAAUUGUCCAGAAAUAGAGUCCUUUCCUGAAGGAGGAUUGCCCUUCAAUUUACAAGCCCUUUGGAUCAGAAAUUGCAAGAAACUGGUGAAUGGCCGAAAGGAGUGGAGUUUACAGAGACUCUCCUGUCUCAGAGAGUUAUCCAUCGUACAUGAUGGCAAUGACGAAGAGAUUGUUGGUGGUGAGAAUUGGGAGUUACCUUCCUCUAUUCAAAGACUUACCAUAGAGAAUCUGAAAACAUUAAGCAGCCAACAUCUCAAAAGCCUCACCUCUCUUCAAUAUCUAUGUAUUCGUAAUUUACCUCAAAUUCAGUCACUGCUGGAACAAGGGUGGCUUCCCUCGCCUCUUUCUGAGCUACGUUUAUAUCACCAUCAUGAGCUCCAUUCACUAGGUCUUUGGCACCUCACUUCGCUUCAAAUUCUACACAUCAUUAAUUGCCCUAAUCUCCAAUCACUUUCCGAAUCAGCACUGCCCUCUUCCCUCUCUAAACUACAUAUUCGCGACUGCGCAUUGCUCACACCACUACUAGAAUUUGACAAGGGGGAAUACUGGCCAGAAAUUUCUCAUAUCUCCACCAUACAGAUCAAUGAGGAAUACCUUUAAUGAUUAAAACAACUGUAAGUUUUUCUUUUUCCUCAUAAGCCUUUUAUUAUUUUUUCAACUUCUCUUUGCUUUUAUGUUAAUGCUUUUUCUUUAUUACAUUCUUGUUUCGCAGUAUGGAGUGUCUAUUGCCACUAUGAAGCUGAUGAUUUUAAUUUUAGAACUCAAUAGCAAUUAAUGUUACAUAUCUUACUCGAAGAUUUUUAUCGCUUGAACUUUCAUCUCAAUAGCAAGUCAUGUAUACUUGUUCUUUCCCUUUUCAGUGAGUUUAGAGUGAUGCACAUGUCCACUAUCAAAUUCAAAACUCUUAAUAGAAUUCAAAGGUGUACCAUACACAAGAUGUGUUUCAGUGAGUUUAGAGUGAUGCACAUGUCCACUAUUCAGGUUUUUAUUAAUGAUUCAGCCCCAUCGUAGAGAUCGAUUGGGAAUACCUGUGAUGAUUAAAACAAAUGGCUCUCCAACUGAUGUAAGUUAUUCUUUUCCAUCAGAAGCUUUUUAUUUUUGUUUUCAUUUUGCUUUUUUGUUGAUUCUUUUCCUUUAUAAAACCUUGUUGAGCAGUGUAGAAUGCCUAUUGCUCAAAUCAUAAAUCUUGAUUAGGAGAACCCUGUAAUGAUUAAAACGAGUUCUGCUCCGAUAGAUGUAAGUUAUUCUAUUUCCUUAAAUGUAACUAAUAUUCACUGGAUAUUCUAUUUCCUUAGUAUAUUUUGAUUGAGAUAAUUUGCUCAAGAAAGUUGAUUGCUUAAUAUAUGUUAUCACCUUUGGAGAUAUAGGGUCCAAGAAAUGCAACCUCACUUUCUCAAUCAGGUAGCCAACACAUUGAUAAAAGUUAUAUCAAGCUUCAAAUUUAAAGAAAUUGAAAACGACUUUGAAUAUCUGCUUCCAUUAUUUUACGCCAUGUUGUACCACAUUGAUUUCAAGUUUGAUUCCACUGCAUAAUUACAUCAGUUUUUUUUUUGUUUUGAUAUUCAAUUAUCUAGAAUAUUACAUCACUUUUUGGUUUUGAUAGUCAGAGAACUUUGAAGAUUAUGAAGUUUCCUUCAAAUUAAGCCCAUUACUCAACCUCGAGUGACACCUCAGAGCUAGCGGAAAGUCAAGAAAGUUUAUCCUGCUCGGGAUGAAGUUAAUGUUAGAUAACAAAAUAAUGAUUUACUCGUGUUUCAGUUACUAAGAUUCUUAUUUUGUAGUAAUAUUUUGGACUCUCAUAACUCAGUGACAUGGAUUUCCUUCAUUGGCACCCUCAUCAGUCAUCAAUCAGUGAAACAGAGAAAUCGACUGUUUCAAAACUCUCUGAAACCCAUUUUGAGCUUCAUGCCUUCAAUUCCGAUGAAACCCAAAAGGCAUCAACAGAGUAGAAGAAUUCAACCCAAAACCCAUUUCAACCCAAGUUUUCUAUUCCUGCUUCACCUGAUAGGAAGAAGUUUACGUAUGAGAAAGGUCUAAAGGUACAAAUAUUUUUUCUUCUCCUUUUCUUACUGUGGUGCUUAAAUUGGUUUUGUCCCACUUUGCAUCACAAUGAUGUUGGAGUAUAUCGGUUUUCUACUGGUAUUCAGAUACUUAAAAUGGAAAAUUGCUUUGGAAAAUAUCGUUUCAUUGUUCGAAAGUUGUUUAACAUACAAUUGGCAUCUGUUGAUCCAAUUUUUUCAUUUUUCUGUUAAUCUUCUUCUAUCCUUAGUUUACAUGUCUUCUGAUUGAGUUAUAAUACAUGCCUUGAUUCUAUUGAAGAUGAGAAAUCGUCAAAUGCCUUUAUGAAGUGUUUGCUAAGUUGAUGUCGCCUAAUUCACAUUUCACUGAAUUAAUUUCUGACCCAAGUUUAUGCAUAUGUUUGGUCUAACAUUGAAAAGGAAAAAUGUCGAAUGAUAUGGAUAUUUUUGUUUUUAAGAAUACAAAGUCACUAUAAAGGUAGAAAAUUUCGAUGGUAUUAAUUUUGAUAUGCAUCACCAUUGAGAACUUUGCCUGAGGUAUUAAUUUCUAUUUUCGCUGUUUAGAAAUGUUUAAUGUAACUCCUAAUUGUGAUGCUUCAUUCACACAUUUUUGAAAUAUAUUACAUAGAAAAUAUGCUUCUAUCCAAGGAAAAUUAUAUCUGCCUAGCUCUAACCUCCAGUACGUGUAUUCAUGAAUAAAAUGAUAGAAAAUGGAAACAAGGAAGGAAAACAUGUGCUGUUUGUUCUCGAUUUUUAAAUAUUGUAUCCUCUUUCGCUUCUGUUUUUCAUUUGCUCUCCUAGCUAAUAGUCUUUUAUUUACUGAAUAAUCAUAUGUUAUAUGUCUCCUUAAGUUCCUGUAUUUUUUAUUUCACAAACUUCACAUAAGCAUACAAGUAAUUGCAAUAGUUUAUUUGUGCUUCCAGAUUCGUUUAGUGUGAGGUCUGAUUUUUCUUUUUCCUUUUACAGCUAUUAGGAAAAGCUUGCCUAUGUGGCUCUUGACUAUGAGCAGGAGAUUGAAACUGCCAGGAGCAGCUCCUCCACUGAAAAGAACUAUGAAUUGCCUGAUGGACAAGUUAUUGCCUUUGGUGCUGAGAGGUUCCAUUGCCCAGAGGUCCUCUUCCAGCCAACGAUCCUUCCCGUGCGUUGAUCGUGGAUAAGACACUCAGAAGAAGAAAAGAUGACACGAAGAUGGUUAGCUGCAACAUGACUGACAGAAAUUUCUUUAUAGGAGGAAAAUGGAAUCUAUCAUGAAGAAUCCGGGAUGAAGACAUAGACCCACAGUGUGAAAGAGGUAAGAGAGUUUCAUCUACAAUGUUAACAGAAACUUUAAUAGGUAAAGGAGGCAGACAAUAGCAAUUGAUUAUCGUUUAGUGAUUAUCUUGCUUGUUAUAAACAUCAGGAGCAUUUGAUGGUAAGAUGUCAUAUAUCUUGGUAUCUAACAGGUACCCUGGGGUAUUAAUGAGUGAGGUUGAGGAUGGAAAGCCAUUCAGCCAAGUUGUUAAUGCUGCUAAAAGCCUUGGCUACACUAUUAAUGUUUGUAAAAUCACCAUAUAUAUGAGAAUUGAAGAUAUGACUUACAAAAACAGAAAGUUGUCGAUUGAAUAUAUGAUAUUGUCUAUUCAUAAUUAUGUGUAGUCUUACAUUUUUGUUUAUAUGUUGCUCUUUCUAUGAGUAAUUUCCACUCGUUUUCCUGUCAGGCAAGUGUUCCUCUGGUACAAUAAUAUUUUCUGGCCUUCUGCUUAGGAAGUUUGUCUAGGACUAAUUUGAAUGUGAGAGAAGUCAGAGAAACACGAGAAGCGAUUAAGAGAAUGUGUAAUACAAAUGUCUUACACAUGAAUUCUUCUUUUAUAUGCUCACUUUACGGUGCAUCUUCAUACAUUUGUCCAAUGUGGUGAACAUGCACAUACAACUCUAUAUUACAAUUAUCUCUUGUUAUUUACAUUUAGCUAUCUGAUUCUCCCCUCUAGCUGGUGCGUACAUGUAACCUGUAUAGGAUUUGAUGAAUAUGUCUAUAAGUUGAUCGGUCGACUUUCCAAACUUUAUAAGAGUGUCGUGAAAGCAUUUUUUGGGGAAGGGACAGUCGGUUUCUAUAUGCUUGGUCCUCUUGUCAGAUUCUGCAUACAAUGGAUACAAGUACAACUUGAUUAAUUAUCACACUCAAGUUUUGUUAUGAUCAAAUUUCAAUUGUUAGAGAAAAAUGUAUCUCAGGUUUAACUCUGCCCAAAAGUUACCUCAUGACAUGCGGAUUGCCAAAGAUCACAUAAAGAGAUUACAACAAAACAUCCUCAACUGAAGUGAGACUAACAUCUUAAUUCUUAUCGCUUGCACAGGGCGGAACAUAUGAAGUAUGUAUAACAUAACACAGGGGGGCUUAACAUUGGGUAAUAACUAAACACUAGGGAUGAGCUUGAGUGAGAUAUCAUUAAGAAAAUGGACUUUGUGCCUAACCCAGUCCAGAAAGCUAGUCCAAGAUCAUAUAAGGGUACCUUUAACCAAUGUGGUAAACUAACAGCAACCAUUUUCGAUCCUUUUGGUGGUUGUUAAUCUAUGUGCUCAUCGUUACCAUAGUCAUGACCCAAUAUUCUCUUUCUUCUAUAUUGCCCAAUUGCCUGAAAGUAUUAUAGUAUUUAGAAGUAAAACGUAUAUAAAGAAGGUAUCACUGUCCAUUUUGCAUCGUAAUUGUCUUUGAUUUUUGUUGAUAAUCCUUUCCAAGAGCAGGCUUCCUACCCCAAAAUUCUGUUUCCAGCUGGAUUAUAUAAGAAAUUUGGAGCCAUUCAAAACUUCUAAGGAGAUUCUAGUUCCUGUUCUAAUAAAGAAAUAAUGUCUUCAAUGCAUUGUCAAGAUGCAGUCAAUUUUCUAGCAGCAGUUAGCAGGAACCGUACAUCCAUCCCAAAAUAUCAUUAUGGAAGAAAUCGCUGACACUACACUUCAUCUCAAUUCUCAUUAGGAUAGUUGAAGUAUGAAGUUAUUCUUAUGUAUUUAUACUUAUCUGCAGAUCCUCGGGAUGAUCUAGGUGGUAUGGAUGCAGCAAGAAAGGUUAGGAAACGUCUUUCUUCUGAUUAAACUUACAGUGUCCAAGAUUUCAAUCCAUUUAUAUUGCCAAAUUAUUAUGCUGAUUAAGCAUUAUCUUUCUUUUUUCUUUAUCUGAACUUACCUGCAGUCUUACAGUAUGCAUAAUUGAUACAAUUAUUCUAUUUUGCAAAGGCUGGCUAUGAUAUUAUGUAAAAAGGCUGGCUAUGAUAUUAUGUGAAAAGAUCUGAGCUUCCAAUAUUGGAGACCCUAUAACCUUUAAAAUCCUCUGUUCAACCCAUAUGCAACAACUAUAUAACUCAACUGGAAAUGGCUAAGAAUCAAAUAUACGAUACUCCAAGACCACUCAAUUCUUUGUUUAUAAGCCAACAUAAACAAUAUGAUACAAUUAUUCUGUUUUGCAAUGUCAACUGCAACGAGUCUGAACCAUUGAAUUAACCAUCUAAAAGAACGUAAUUAAAAGUAAAUUUUGAAAAAAGAACGAAAAACUAGUUGAGUGAUUGGUGAUUAUCAUUUGCUUAUUCUGUUUUUUCCCCUUAUCAUGGUUACUUGUAAGUAUAAUCUCGUAAGGAAAAAAAACAUUCAAGCCAGUCCCAUCUGGAUAUAAAAUUCAAGGUUUCUUCUAGUCUGUGAUUCUGCUAUUCUCUUUUGUAUCAUGAAAAGUGUCUCGUUAGCUAUAGUCAUAUGUGCAUGAGAGUGUAGAGGGAGCAUCUCUGCUUCAUAUUUCAAGUACUUUGUUAUAAUCUUUCCUUAAUUUGUAUUUGGGAUGAUGAUGUCUUUGGGGGGUAGAAAAGCUGUGAUUAAGCCAGAAUCAUUUUCGCAGAUUGCGAUGGGAAGCAUAUCUUAUCCAACUUAAUAUAGUUAAUACUUGGUUUCUCGGUACCUUUCAUGAAACGUUCAUAGUUCUAAUUGGUUCUGUAAAUUUUGAGAAGUUGAACAUCCCUCAUAACAAUAUUUUGUUUUGAUGUCUUCAUAACAGGCUCUAAUUCUUGCUCGGCUCCUUGGACGACGUUUAAACCUAGAUAAUAUGAAGGUUAGGAUACAUGUCACCAUGUCUCUUUGUUUUGUUACUAGCUCAAUUAGCUUCAGAAACCUUGAUGCAUAUGCAAAUCCCUUUUCAGAUUGAAAGCUUGUAUCCUGAAGAAAUGGGACCAGAUGUGAUGCCUCUGGAAGACUUUCUAGUGAAUGGCCUUCCCUUACUUGAUAAGAAAAUUGAAGAUAGGACUAAACAAGCUUGAAUUUUCUGCGUUAGUUUGCUUGAUGAUGAUGCGUGGUAAUUCUUUCACUUCAUUUUUAGUUUGCUCAAUGGAUAAUGACAACUUGAUCUUUUAUUCUAAUCACAUUCUGCAAGUCACCAUACCUCUAGCAGCUUAAAGCAAAGCUUGCUCACUGACGGGAGUGUUAUGGUCAGUUGUUCACCUCUCGUAUCCACGACCAAUUAAAGAACGAGUUAGAAGUAUAAAUCUGUAAUGGCAUAGAUGAGGGAACAUUGAACUAUCUUUAAAUGAUAGUUCCAAAAUAUUUUCAUUAAUUAGUUCUUUUUUCAUGUAUUUAGGGUUGGGAAGGUGGCAGAUGGGUAUGCAGAAUUAUCAUAUUUUUUUCUUGAGACUUAUGUUGAGAAAAUUGUUAUAAGCUCUUGUAUUUAGUAUAACAUCAAUUGAAAAUUGGGAAGCAAAAACUUGUCGGCUCAUUCUACAUAAGACCUAUGUUUGGAUUUACAAAAACAACAUACCCAAUGUAACCCCACAAGUGGGGUUUGGGGAGGAUAGGAUGUAUGCAGACCUUGUCUGGAUUUGUUUGAAUAUAAUUCACUAACAUGUUCAUAUGGUAAUGAUGGGUUCGUUUGGAUGCAAAAUGGCAAUGUUAUCCAUACUAGUAGAAACUUAGAAUCUAUCUUUGGUUUCUUUAAGCGGUUUGGUCUCACCUUGUAAGGUUUGAAGUUUCAUUUCUUGUAUUGUCUUGAACAAGUGUAUAUCAAGGAGUAUUUAUUAACUUGUUGGUUGAAGAAAAAAAAUAGAUAUUUCUGUUUAUUGGUUUUUGUCUUCUUGAUAAGUGUCUACUUUAGAACUAUUAUGAAUUGUUCUAGCAAAAUCAACUGCUACAAACAGCUUCACUGAAAACAAAUAGCACAGAAGAAAGUGUCUGGCGGUCUGCUGCUUGGGGAAAAAUUGAUUAUUGAAAACACUUUUGUGUACAUGACAUUAACAUCACUCAUUUUCAGAUAUGAAGUUGGCAUCCAAGAAGUUCCAAAAGAUUUUGCAUUGGGAAGAUUAAGAGGAAGUGAUAAUGUGGUGCGCAUUGUGCACUUUCACCUCCCAUUUUGCUGUUUCUUUGGUCCCUCUUCUUUUUGUUCCAUUACUUUGUUUUCCGUUGGGAAUUUUCUUUUAACUGCUAUGGAGGUUCAACCAUAUCAUACUCGUCGUUAUUAGAUUAUCAAGGUAAAACAUUUUUAAUUGUUUAAAGCCCUUUUGUGAUGUCAUUUUUGUAGUGAUGUAUUACAUCAUGCUGUGAUUUUAAAGAAUUGCUCAUCUUUUACCCAUGCCUAAGGCGAACGCUUUACUUUGUCUUUACUCUUUACACAUCAUCUGGUGUCGCCCUGCAAAACUUUGUGCAGUUAAGGUCUUUGAUUCUAUUCUACCUUAAUCGUAGAAUGUAUCCCUUGUACUAAUUAGGAGGUAAUACAAACAGUAAGAUUAAUGACUUGGUUUUGUCGAAGAAUGACUAUGAUGAUUGAACGUCUGUAAUUUGGAUUGUUUGUCUACAGGUGGAGAUAUACAGCCGUUGUUACGAGAAACAACCUUUGGUUAUCCAAGGCGCUGGAGCAGGAAAUGAUACCACAGCAGCUGGUGUCCUAGCUGAUAUCCUUGACAUUCAAGAUUUAUUCCCUUGACCGAGUAUUAUACACUGAGAUACAAACAUUCGAUCCUCAAAGGAUGAAAAAUCGACUCUUCUUGUCCCUCUGCUUCAAUCAUUGAAGACUGAAAUCAGGCUCAUUUAGCACAUCCAUUUUUUGAAAAAAAAUUCGACACGUGAGAGUGCGUUGUCAGUUUAUGGAAAAUUAUUGCACGAUUUCUCGCGUCUAUCUUGUCACUAGUGAAAUUGAUCAUAUAUUUGCCUCAUUGCUUGACUAGUUUUUAAGAUUUCACUUCAGCUUAUAAUCAGUUUAUGUUGUAAUGACCAUUUUGGUACCUAAACUUUUUAUGUUACUACAAUUUUAGAGACUUAGUUAUUAUGCUUUCAGAAUAACAAAAGGGUUAAUACAACGUGUAGGAUGACUUGAGAAAUCUUUUUGUACAAGGAGAUAUAGGAAGUAAGAUCAUUGUAACAACACGCAAAGAGUGUGUUGCCUUGGUGAUGGGAAAUGAGCAAAUUAGCAUGGAGAAUCUAUAUAUGGACUACCUAUUUCAUUUUAUGAGAAGAGAAGAGAAUUUUAAAAAUGAUGUUGGCCUUUUCUUUUCUUCGACUGUCAGCUAUACAAAACCAAGACAAAUGUUGUAAUGGAGAACUUGUUCCCUCCAGCACUAUCUUCAUUUAUCUUUAUCCUGACAAAAUUUAGAAAGUAGAAAACGUAAAACAAAGAAAAUAAUAAGGAAGAAAGUGUGAAGAUUUACCAAAACUCUUGCUUCCAGUAAUGAAUAGUCAAGAAACCAGACUGGCAGACUCCAUAAUUAUUUUCUAUGGCUGUGAGCUGCAGACUGUAGAUAAAACAUAGUUGUACCAAUUACAAGCAAAAGAGAGGGGGAGAAAUCAUUCUUGAUUAUAUAUCACUCUUAGCUCUUAGCAUUCAACAGGUAAAAUAAAAUUGUUAGUAAUUGAAGUUUGAAACAUUUAUCUUCUUAAAAUCAUUUUAAGAAGAUAUCAUUUAAACCAUAUGGCAAUCUAGCUCGGCAAGAGAUACAUGCUAAAGUAUAUCCUGCUCGGGAUGAAUUCAAGGUUAGAUAAUAAAAUAAUGAUUUACUCGUGUUUCAGUUAUCAAGAUGCUUAUUUUGUAGUAAUAGUUUCCUCUCUCAUAAAUCAGCGAAAUAGAUUUCCUUCAUUGGCACCCUCAUCAGUCAUCAAUCAGCAAAACAGAGAAAUCAACGGUUUCAAAAUUCUCUGGAACCCAUUUCGAGCUUCACGCCUUCAAUUCUGAUGACACAAAAGACAUCAACAGAGUAGAAGAAUUCAACCCAAGUUUUCGACUCCUGCUUCACCUGAUGAGAAGAAGUUUACGGGAGAAAGUUUGCCUUAGGUAUUAAUUUCUAUUUUCGCUGUUUAGAUAUGUUUCCUGUAGCUCCUAAUUGUGAUGCUUCAUUUACACAUUUUUAAAAUUUUAUCUAAUAACAGGGAUACAGUAUGUCCGAGUCAACUUGAUGUUACAAACUUGCAGCUAAUUGUUGUGCGUUAUAUUUUUGCAUAUCAUGAAGAAUCCGGGAUGAAGACAUAGACCCGUAGUGUGAAAGGGGUAAGAGAGUUCCAUCUGCAAUGUUAACAAAAUCUUAUAUAAAAAUAAUAUAUACGAAAAUUAAUUUAUAAAAAUUAUAUACCAAAUUGAAAACUUAAAAUCAAUAUUAUAAAAAUAUUACAUCUUAUAUAUAUAAAAGAGAACCUUAUGCCCGCCUACGUGGCGCCACCACAAACCAGAAUUCUCUUUAAAUUUAUUUAUUUCCAAAACUAGCCUUCCUCUUUUAAUGAAAAGUUGUGACAUUUAUGAAAAAUUGUGAAUUUUAUGAAAAGUUUUGACUUUAACUAGCCUUCCCCUUUCAUGAAAAGUUGUGACUUUUAUGAAAAAUUGCGACUUUAAUGAAGAGUUGUGACUUUUAUGAAAAAUUCUGACUUUUAUGAAAGGUUGUGACCUUUCCGAAGGGUUGCAACCUUUCUAAUAAAUCACAAUAAACAUUUGUUCACAUUACCCUUUGUUGUCUAUAAAUAGAGGGAUUUCCUCUCAUUUUAAAACAACUGAAAUUCUGAAUCUCUUCUUCUUCUUCACAAUUAAAUAUUUGUUUGUUUUGCUCAUGUUGAGUGGCUCAGUGAUACCAUUGCUUAUGUUACAGAUCCUGGUAUGUAUUUUUACAGUCAUUAAUUUAUGCUUAUGUUAUUAAGAAUAAAUGAUAAAGAUGUAAUAAUUUUCAUUUUCCUUUACAUUAUUAAUUUUUGUUACUACGUAAUCUUAUAUGUAAGAUAAUAUAGUGUUUUUGUUUUAAUGACUGAUAGGUUUUUAAGUAUUAUUUUAUAAAUUCCAUGAUACUAUUAAAUUCCCGAGCGAAGCGCGGGUAAUUUUACCAGUAAAAGAUAAUUAAGUAUACUGCGAACUUAAUUAAAAUAUAAAAUUUAUAAUAUGUUAAAUUAAUUUUUUUUAAUAUUAUACAAAUUCAGAGUUGCACAUGUUCACCCUUGUGCUUUGAUAAAAUGCAGAAUCUUAUGUAUAAAAAAAUACAAGAGGUUGUGGUGAAAGUUUAUUUCCAAUAGAAAUACGUGAAUUUGGUGGUAUGCCGUCCCCACCAAAGACAUAACCUAUAUUUAUAAAGAUUAUGAAAACUUACUAGUUCAAGAAAAAAAGAAGUGAUGUAUGAUUGAGAAAAGAAAGGAAGAGAGUUUGUAGCGAGAGAGAGAUAUGGAAAGUUUCGCAAAGAGAGAGAGGCAUAUUUUGUUGUGUAUUAAAUAAGUCUGAAUAUUAUUAAACUUAUUAGCAAAUUUUAUUCGUUUUGAUUCUUUUUUCUUCUAUGGCUGUCCACCCACCAAAAUAAAUAAAAUAUCCUUCCUCUUUUGCCUCAAUUGUUGGCUAAAAGUCAACUCAUGGAAAAGAGACAAUUUAAAUUAUUAUUAUUAUUUUCCUAUAGCUGUCAGUUGUAGAUGGUAGAAAACUAUAGUUGUACCAAUUAUAGAUCACUGAUUAUUCUUGUUUGCAAAUUACUCUUAGUAAUUGAAGAUAGAAACAUUUAUCAUUUUGUGUUGCUUUGCAGAUUUCAGAAAUGGAAAUUGGGUUAGCAGUUGGUGGUGCAUUUCUCUCUUCAGCUUUGAAUGUUCUCUUUGAUAGGCUUGCUCCUCACGGUGAUCUUCUCAACAUGUUUCAGAAUCAUACGAAUGAUGUUCGGAUCUUUAAGAAGCUGAGAGCGACUUCGGAUGGUCUUAAGAUUGUGCUAAGUGAUGCAGAGAAUAAGCAAGCAUCAAAUCCAUCGGUGAGCGAGUGGCUUGAUGAGCUUCGAGAUGGUGUGCACUCUGCUGAAAACUUAAUGAGAAGUUAAUUAUGAAGCUUUGAGGCUUAAGGUGGAAGGCCAGCAUCAAAAUCUUGCAGAAACAAGCGACCAGCAAGUAAUUUGAUAUUUUGAUAAUUUGAUUGAUUCAGGAUGAACGUCGAUCGUAUGAUUACAUGGAUUCACAACCAGAUAUCAACGUCAGGGUCAGAGCUAGAAAAUUUUCUG